UGAUAUAUCGACAAGAGCUUUAGGGGAGCAACGUCUGGAUUGAAAACACGAAUUAUUCGGGUAGCAUUUCUCUGCUCAUCCCUUGUUUUGACUUUCCCAACGGAAAGUUUUAUUUUCUUCUGGAUUCCUCGGCUGUACAAUAUCUCGGCUCAUUUAUUGAGUUGGAAAAGAAGCAAUUGUGGAAAUGAGUAUUCUCUUUUCUUUUCUUUUCAAUCCAUCGUUGUAAGAAGAUACUAUUGAUUCUUGCUUGGUCAUUCCGUAGUAACGGGAUCCUUGACUCAAAACUUUGUUGUUUGGGUUGACUAUAUAGACGAGUCUGCUGAUCCAGCUUCCUAUGAUGAACAUAAGUUUUUAUCUAACGAAUAAAAAUUGCUCCAUUCUGCUAGUGCAUAUCAGUUCCGUUCUUCCUGACUUCUCAAAGCGAGGCAUAAAUAGUGUGGGUGGCGUGCGAAAUUGCAUAGGAGCACUCGGCGACACAGCCCACUGCUAUCAUGCCCAUCCAGUUGUCUCGGGAUCAACACCCACUAUAUUUUUGUCUAUUGUCUGCUUCCUAUUGCCCACUGCUAUCAUGCCCAUCCAGCUCUCUGUAUUGUGUUCAUUAAUCUUUCUACUAGCCGCAAAUGAAGCCAAAGAGAGACAGUCUGUGAGGAAGGUCGGCUGCCUGAUGUUGAGACAUUUAGCUACUUUUGCAGUCAAGAGAAGAGCAAACGCUUCAGCCUGCAGAGGAGUACUUGUAAUUGAGGUGGAAGCUUGAAUCUGCACGCUGACUUCCUUCUGAUCGUGCGGCAAAGACAUGUAGAUACCAACUCCAGUGGCUGCUGUUCCCUGCAAUAAACCUGAAAUUUUUUUGCACUUAAAAGAUGCAUCAGUAUAUAUUUUCGGUCCCGUGAUAAGAAGAUCUGAUUUAAGCGUUUGUCCCUGCAAGGGAAGUUGAUUAGUAUGGGUUAAGAUACAACUGGAGUUUUGAGGCUGAUGGUGUGAAGAACUGUUAAGCAGAUCACAGAAAUCAUUAGAUAGAGAAGUAGCAGCAAUAUUAACUUGGUGAGGGGUAGAUUUCUUUCUAUUAAAAAGAUAAUCAUUCCUCGCCUUCCAAAGACACCACAUAAAAUUUAGAAUGUUGACAACAGAAGCAUGCGGAUGGUUCAUAUUAAGUAAAGCAAGAAUAAUACUAUGGAUAUUGGUAUAGAUCUGAACUAAAGCAUCUGUUCUGAUGAACCAAGGAUGAGAAAACCAAGGAGCUCUAGCGAAGUCACAAAGAAAAAACAUGUGAACCUCAUCCUCUUGCUGACCACAUCUGCAACAAUAUUGAGAAAUAUGUACGGAAAAGCGCCCAACCCUCAAACCUGUGGGAAGAGCUUUCCGAAGGAGUCUCCAAGCGAAAGUUUGAACUCUGGGGAUCAUCAACUUUUGCUUCCAAAUCAACUUGAGAAGAUUUUUCAUCUGCAAAGAAACUUGGGAAGGAGUAUUUCUUGGAUUGGCAUGAAUAUCCUGCAAACACAAUUUAUAAGUGGACUUGGAAGAACAAGUACCAUUAGGAGUUAGAUCCCAACAUAAUAUAUCCGGGCAAUCUUGGUGAAUAAUGUCAGUUUGAACGAUAACAGAGGCUAGAGGCUGUUGAAAGAGAGAGUUAAUGAGAUCAUUGUUCCAGACUUUCUGACCCGGUAUCCAAAGGUCCUUAACAAGAGAAGGAUAUAUGUAUCCUGAAGGCUGAAUAAAAUAAGAUUGUCAUGAACAGAAGCCCAAAGGGAACACCAAGGGGUACUCCAAAGAGAGAUAUUCCCUUGCGUGAGUUGGUAAAAAGAGUGAUCUUUCAGUUUAGGUAACAUUUUUAAAAUGGAUGACCAGAAAGCAGAUUUUGGAGUAGUAGAAAUAGCAGUCCAAAUAGAGGCAUCAUGGAAGUAUUUAGAUUUGAGCACAAGAUGAAGGUGGGAGGAAGGGUCUUUAGCAAGCCUCCAAGCAACUGCAAGAAGUAAGCCCUCAUUAAUUGCUUGCAAGUUCCUAAUGCCAAGACCACCUUCCUGUUUGGAAUUGCAAAUGUCCUUCCAAGCCCUAAGACAAAGGCUCUUGUUAGAAUUAUUCUCUCUGAUUCCUGUCCACCAAAAGUUCCUUAUAAUAGCAGUGAGUUUGGCUAUAAACUUCUUGGUAAACAAAAUAUUAGACAUGUAGUACACAGGAAUAGCAGAGAACACAGACCUAAUGAGCUCAAGCCUAGCAGCAUGAGAGAGCAUAUUAGCUUUGUAAGCAGGCAAUUUAUUCAGAAAUUUAUCAAUAACAAAGUUGUAAGCAGCAGUUCUAUUUUUAGCAGGAAGAAUAAGCGAAUGACCAAGGUGGGUGAAAUUGUUAUCCAUGAUAGAAACAGGAAAAACUUGCUUAAUCUCUUGAAUAGUGGUUUGACUAACAUGAGUACUAAAAAGAAUAGCAGAUUUGGCCCAAUUUGGUAUUUGACCUGAAAUAUAACAAAAGUGAUGGAUGAGUUGAGCCAUAGAAUUUGCUUCCUGCAUAGUGGCUUGACCACAAACCAACAGAUCAUCUGCAAACAACAGAGAAUGAAUAGAAGGGCAAUCUGGACCAAGUGAAAUACCCUGGAGAUGAUGAGCAGCUAGAGCUUCAUUAAGAGCAACAGAUAAUUCAUUGAUAGCAGUAACAAACAAAUAAGGCGACAUGGGACAACCUUGACGAAUACCUCUGAAACUUUUAAAUUUAUGAGAAGGCUGCCCAUUAAUAAGCACAGAGAAAGUAGGAGAAGAAAUGCAAGCAUGAAUCAAAUUAAUGAAAUGACCAUGCAGACCUUUACGUGCAAGAGCAGACACAAUGAAACUCCAUUCAAGACGAUCAAAAGCUUUAGCAAGAUCUAUCUUGAGCAUGAAAGCAUGAUGAUUCCACAAUUUUAGAGCGAAGGAGUGAGUAAUCUCUUGAGCAAUAAUGAUGUUAUCGCUAAUUCUUCUACCCUCAAUAAAAGCUUGUUGUGCCGGAUCAAUAUAGUCCGGAAGAUGAGGCUUAAUCCUAUUAGCCAAUGAUUUCGCAAUGAUUUUGUAGACAACAUUACAAAGGCUAAUGGGAUGAUAAUCCAUAGGAACUUGAGGAACUAACUUUUUUGGAAUGAGAGCAAUAUUAGUGUCAUUGAUAUGAGGAGGUAAAAUACCAGUUUUAUAAAAGGUAGUCACAAGUUGAGUAACUUCCUCGCCAAUCCAAUCCCAUGCUGCUAGAUAAAAUUCAACAUUAAAUCCAUCCGGACCCGGAGAAGCAUUCAACUUCAUGUCUUUGAGAAUCUGCAAAAUCUCAUGUUUAUCUGGAAGAAAGUAAGUAGGAUCCAAAGAGUUGUCAGGCAAACGAGUAUUAAGAAAAGGCCUUGCAGUGUUAUUGUUUGGUGAAGAGAAGAUGUAUCUAAAAUAAUUGACAAAAGUAUUAGUGAUAGCACUAGGUUUAAAAUGAAGCACAUCAUUCUCAUCCUUAAUGGAACAAAUAGUAUUUCUUUUUCUUCUUUUGAUCACAGCCUGAUGAAAAAACUUAGUAUUACGAUCACCAGCAGUGGCCCAACCCUUCUUACUUCUCUGCUUAUAAAAUUGAUUGAGCUUAGAGAGAGUUUGUUCAUACCUAAGAGUGAGAGAGCUUUCCAAAGUGUGAUUUUGCUGCUGAAUUGAAAGCUGCUGAAUGUGAUUAAUACUGGACUCAAUUUCCAAAAGCUCUUGCUGGAAGGGAUUUUUCUUCUUACACCACUUCUUCAAAGAACCUGCCAAAGAAGAAGACUUUGCUGCAAAAGAGGUAAAAGUGCAAUUAUUCCAAGCAAAUUUUGCAAAGCUAGUAAAGUCUUUUUCAAGCAACCACCAAUUUUCAAAUUUAAAAGUUUGCCUCGGCUUAAGAAAAUUACCGUCUGUAGAAACGAGAAUGGGCGCAUGAUCACUGAGAAUAAUAGGUAAGUUGAGCACUUUAGAAUUAGGAUAAUGCGCACACCAGUCAGAGUUGACAAGGCAUCGGUCUAGACGUCUGUAAAUAGGAUUAACAGUAUGCUGUUUGUUACGCCAAGUGUACGCAGGACCACUAAAACCAAUAUCAAAAAAACCGCAAUUUUUAACAAGGGAACGAAAAGCAGACAUGCGAUAAUAAUUAACACUACCAUUACAACAAUCUGUAUCAUACAAGAUAUUAUUAAGGUCUCCAAUACACAUCAUGGGCUUACCCAAGUUAUCAUACACAAAAGCAGAAACUUGACUCCAAAUAGCACUAGUCUGCCUAUGGUAGGGGUCACCAUAUAUACAAAUCAAACAAAAGUGAACACCCGAGGCUAGAUGAACUACAUUAGCUAAAAUAUAAUGAAAGGAGGCACUAUGAACAGACACAUUGAGUUCAUCAUUCCACAUAAGCCAGAGCCCUCCAGAGGCUCCUCUAGAAGGAACAACAAAACUAUUAGCAACAUCAAACCUAUUAACAAGAUCAACCGACCGAACCUUGGAAGAUUUGAUUUCGGAAACAAAGGUUACCUGAGCUUUAGUAGAACGAAUCAGAUUGGCCAGAAAUAGCAUACAUUCAUUGCCGAGGUCUCGGCCCAUACCUCGGCAAUUCCAAGCUAUGGCUUUCAUGGCGCCCGAGACGUGUUAGGGCCAUGCGCCGCUGCCCAAGAAAAAGAGUCGGUCAUGUUCCCAUGUACUACAGCAUCAAAUUCCAUCUCCUCCCCCCUGACCACUCCUAAGAUCCACUCUAUCUCGUUGGCAAGAGGAGCUAAAGUCAUCCUGAUAUACUACUGCAGCUUGACUCAAACUAGAAGGAAUACAGGGUUGGGAGUAACGAAAGUGGNNNNNNNNNNNNNNNNNNNNNNNNNNNNNNNNNNNNNNNNNNNNNNNNNNNNNNNNNNNNNNNNNNNNNNNNNNNNNNNNNNNNNNNNNNNNNNNNNNNNNNNNNNNNNNNNNNNNNNNNNNNNNNNNNNNNNNNNNNNNNNNNNNNNNNNNNNNNNNNNNNNNNNNNNNNNNNNNNNNNNNNNNNNNNNNNNNNNNNNNNNNNNNNNNNNNNNNNNNNNNNNNNNNNNNNNNNNNNNNNNNNNNNNNNNNNNNNNNNNNNNNNNNNNNNNNNNNNNNNNNNNNNNNNNNNNNNNNNNNNNNNNNNNNNNNNNNNNNNNNNNNNNNNNNNNNNNNNNNNNNNNNNNNNNNNNNNNNNNNNNNNNNNNNNNNNNNNNNNNNNNNNNNNNNNNNNNNNNNNNNNNNNNNNNNNNNNNNNNNNNNNNNNNNNNNNNNNNNNNNNNNNNNNNNNNNNNNNNNNNNNNNNNNNNNNNNNNNNNNNNNNNNNNNNNNNNNNNNNNNNNNNNNNNNNNNNNNNNNNNNNNNNNNNNNNNNNNNNNNNNNNNNNNNNNNNNNNNNNNNNNNNNNNNNNNNNNNNNNNNNNNNNNNNNNNNNNNNNNNNNNNNNNNNNNNNNNNNNNNNNNNNNNNNNNNNNNNNNNNNNNNNNNNNNNNNNNNNNNNNNNNNNNNNNNNNNNNNNNNNNNNNNNNNNNNNNNNNNNNNNNNNNNNNNGGAUCUGGCCAGGAGGGCCUCCGUCGGAUUAGAUCGGGCUGGAUCGAGAAGAUGGGAACGGGAUCUGAGAGGGAAGAGACAGAGAAAGAAGGCAGCAAAGAGAGGAUUGAGUGGAUGAGGCGAGCAGAGAUAGGGAGGAUCGGCUAGGGAGCAAGGAGGGGGCGAGGAGAGGAGGGAGAAGAAGAGGUGGGGAGGAAGGAGAUCGACAUCACGCCAGUCGCCGGUAAUCGCCGGAAGUCAAGUCUUCCACGGCAGUCCACCCGGGUCGCCCUCUUCGCUAAACGCUCAUCUAUUGCUCUGUAUCUUUGUCUACUGUCUGCUUCCUAUGUAUAUUGGCCACUGUUACAACUCACUUGCCAGCUGAUUCAUUGCUUCAUUUAUGAGAAAUGAGUUGUUUCUCUAGCACUAUUGUUUUACCACACAGUACAUUGUCAAUACAUAUACGGAGUUAGUGUAAUAUAUCAAUUUUUACUUGUUCAGUGGUGAGGUAAUAUAUUUAAAACCGUAGACAAUUACUUUGGCUCUCUGAUUCUUGUAUGGGCAGUGACUUUCUUGCCCAAUGUAUCCGGAUGAACAGCCGGCAGGAGCUGAUUCUUGUAUGGGCAGUGACUUUCUUGCCCAAUGUAUCCGGAUGAACAGCCGGCAGGAGCUGCAUUCCUAUGCAUGGGUUCCAUGAUCUAGACCUGUGUUCAAACCCUUGUCGUCCAAAACGCAUGUAUCAAUGUCGUCCAAAACACAUAGCCAUUAUAUAAGCACAAAUCCAAAUACUCAUUUCUAGGAAAUUAUGUAAAUAAAUCCAAGAGAUUUUUCAACACAUUUAAUGUUUUUUAGCUCAAGUGAAAAACUGAGAAUGUCGUGGUAAUAGUUCCAUAAACUUACUCAUAAUAAUCUCAGGAUAUUUUUAAAAAUCUUGGGAAUUAUUCUCUUCUAAAUAUAUGCUAAUUUAAUAAUAAAAAUUCCAAGAAAGGUAUUAUUAAUCGCACAGUCAAAUCUAAUGUACGAUGUCACACACACCAAUGAAAUUGCUAUAUAUUUUUACUGUGCUUCUCCUGGUCAUUGUUAUUAAAUGGAUGUGUACCAAAGGCUUUGUCAUUUAAUGCUUAGUUGAAAUUUGUGAUAUGUUGUCAGACACACUAUCUUGAAUUGAAUGAGUAUGGACAGCUUUUUACUGUUGGCAUAUACGCAAGCAUGCAGUAUUGCGACCUCACUAUCAAUUAAAUGAAAACCUGCAUCGAUCCCCAAAUGAACCAUGAGUGGCUUUGAUUCUAGAGGAGUGCGUCGCCAUGUGCUCCUAGUUUGCGUCCGGGUGGCGUGUUACUUUCUACUCCCUCCAUUCCUAAAUGCAAGUCUUUCUGGAGAUUCCACCAAGUAACUACAUACAGAGCAAAAUAAGUAAGUCUACACUCUAAAAUAUGUCUACAUACAUCUGUAUGUUGCAUUCCAUUUGAAAUGUCUAAAGAAACUUAUAUUUAGGAACGGAGGGAGUACGUAGUAAAUUUUUAGAGUAAAAUGCAUCAUAAGUCCUACAACUAUGCGACGUCUGUCAAUCUAGUCCUAAAACUUCAAAAGUGCAGAUUUGGGUCCCAAAUGUUUUGAAGGCGUACAACCCUGGUCCCAAAUUCGCUGCAGCUGUGUUGACAGGUGGACGUGGCUGUUAGAAGGGAGAGUGGGAUUUGGUGCGGAAUAUGAUGGAUGUAUUAUUGAGCCUCGAGGGCAAGUAUAUAUUGAGUACAAGGCUUGAAGGAAAAGACGCCUCUUCUAGAGAUAAGGUAGGAGAUGGAUUAGUAGAUCACAAAUAAAAUAAAGUGCAGCAAAGUAUUUUUGGGUUUUUGGAUUAAUAAAUUUGAAAAUAGAAGCAAAUAAAAAUAGAUCGCAAAGGCAAAUAUAUGAGAAAGAAGACCCGGGGGCCGUAGGUUUCACUAGUGGCUUCUCUCGAGAAAAAUAGCAAACAACGGGUAAACAAAUUACUGUUGGGCAAUUGAUAGAACCUCAAAUAAUUAUGACGAUAUCGAGAUAAUGAUCAUUAUAUAGGCAUCACGUCCAAGAUUAGUAGACCGACUCCUGCCUGCAUCUAGUACUAUUACUCCACACAUCGACCGAUAUAGAACAUGCAUCUAGUGUAUUAAGUUCACGGAGAAACGGAGUAAUGCAAUAAGAACGAUGACAUGAUGUAGACAAGAUCUAUCUAUGUAGAGAUAGACCCCAUCGUUUUAUCCUUAGUAGCAAUGAUACAUACAUGUCAUUUCCCUUUCUGUCACUGGGAUCAAGCACCGUAAGUUUGAACCCACUACAAAACACAUCUUCCCAUUGCAAGAUAAAUAGAUCAAGUUGGCCAAACAAAACCCAAAUAUCGGAGAAGAAAUACGAGGCUAUAAGCAAUCAUGCAUAUAAGAGAUCAAAGAAACUCAAAUAACUUUCAUGGAUAUAAAAAGAUAGAUCUGACCAUAAACUCAAAGUUCAUCGGAUCCCAACAAACACACCGCAAAAGAGUUACAUCAUAUGGAUCUCCAAGAGACCAUUGUAUUGAGAAUCAAGAGAGAGAGAUGAAGCCAUCUAGCUACUAACUACGGACCCGAAGGUCUACAAUGAACUACUCACGCAUCAUCGGAGAGGCACCAAUGGAGGUGGUGAACCCCAUCCGAGAUGGUGUCUAGAUUGAAUCUGGUGGUUCUGGACUAUGCGGCGGCUGGAUGAAUAUUUUGUCGACUCCCCUAGGGUUCUAGGAUUUUUUGGGGUAUUUAUAGAGUAAAGAGGCGGUCCGGGGGGCACCUGAGGUGGGCACAACCCACCAGAACACGCCUGGGCCUCCUGGCGCGCCCUGGUGGGUUGUGCCUCCCUCGGGGCACCCCCAGGCACAACCAGGGCCCGUUGUGUUCCUUUUGGCCCAUAAAAAUUCUCCGUAAAGUUUCGUGGCAUUUGGACCCCGUCUGAUAUUGAUUUUCUGCGAUGUAAAAACACGGGGAAAAACAUGAACUGGCACUUGGUACUAUGUCAAUAGGUUAGUACCAAAAAGUGAUAUAAAAUGAUUAUAAAACAUCCAAGAUUGAUAAUAUAACAACAUGGAACAAUCGAAAAUUAUAGAUACGUUGUAGACGUAUCAACAUCCCCAAGCUUAACUCCUACUCGUCCUCGAGUAGGUAAGUGAUAAAAACAGAAUUUUUGAUGUGGAAUGCUGCCUAUCAUGUCAUAUCAUAUUCUUUUCUUUAUAGCAUGUAUAAUUGGACUUUUAGUUGUUCAAAUCAAUAGUCUAGUUUUGACAUGAUAAUUUAGAUACUCAAGCAUAUCAACAAGCAACCAUGUUUGUAAAAAUAUCAAUGCUAAAAUAAGUUAUCUCUAGCCCAUCAUGCUCAAACAUUGAUCCAUUCAUGAAACACACUUGAAUAUUAGCUACACCAAAUACUUAAGUACGAUCAUAUUGCCUACUAGUUGGUGCUUUUAUAAGAGAAGAUGGAUACUCAAAAAGUAAAAAUUACAUAAAGUAAAAGAAAGGCCCUUCGCAGAGGGAAGUAGGGAUUUGUGGAGGUGCCAGAGCUUAAUGCGAAAAACUUAGAGAUAAAAACAUUUUGAGAGGUGUUUCCCAUAUACUUUCCAUGCAUAGAUAUAUCAUAGGCGGUUCCCAAAUAGAAAAUAAAGUUUAUUCCUUUUUCCACCAUACUUUCACUUUCCAUGGCUAGCCGUAUCCACGGUUGCCCUCCAUACCAACACUUUCCAAGGAAUUUAUUAUUUGACAACAUAGAGUAAAUUCAAUUUUUUUGCAUUUAGGGACUGGGCAUCCCUAAUACCUUUGCCUUACUCUCGUGCAAUGACAAGUGAAUAAACACUCAUCUUGAGAAUAACACAUCUAGCAUGGAAAAUAUUAGCCACCCCUCACUGCUCCGCGAGCGAAACAAACACACAAAAGAGAAGUUUAUUUUAAAAAUUAGAGAUGGCACAUGCAAAUUUCCUUAGAAUGGCAAAAGAAUACUGCAUAUAGGUAGAUAUAGUGGACUCAUGUGGCAAAACUGGGUUAAAGGUUUUGGAUGCACAAGUAGUGAUCAUACUUAGUGCAAAAUGAAGGCUAGCAAAAGAUUGGGAAGCGACCAAGUAAGAACCAGAUAAUCUCAUAAGCAAGCAUUAAGCAUAAAUAACACCGAAUAAUGCACCAUAAGUAGGAUAUAAUUUCAUUGCAUGGCUAUUGACCUUCGUACUUGCAUAGGGAAUCACAAACCUUAACACCAAUACUCUUACUAAAGCAUAAUUACUUACCAACAUAACUCACAUAUCACAUCAUCAUAUCUCAAAACUAUUACUAAGAAUCAAGUUUAUUUUGUCCAAUGAUCUUCAUGAAAGUUUUAUUAUAUCCUUCUUGGAUAUCUAUCAUUUUGGGACUAAUUUUCAUGUAUUGCUUUUGACAAUCUCAAACAAAUAUAAGUGAAGAUCAUGAGCAUAAUAACUUUUUCUUUCUCUCAAAUUAAUUUAAGUGAAGCAAGAGAGAAUUUAUUGAAAAUUUUACUAACUCUCAAAUAAAUCUAAGUGAAGCAAGAGAGCAUUUCUUCAAAAAUACUAAUGCACACCGUGCUCAAAAAGAUAUAAGUGAAGCACUAGAGCAAGUCCAUUGCUCAUAAAAAUUUAAGUGAAGCAUAGAGAGCAAUUCUAACAAGUCAUGGCAUAAUUUUGGCUCUCUCAAAUAGGUGUGUCCAGCAAGGAUUGAUGACUUAAAACACAAAAUAAAACAAGAAAAUACUCAUAUCAUACAAGACGCUCCAAGCAAAACACAUAUCAUGUGACAAAUAUAAAUAUAGUUUCAAGUAAAAUACCGAUGGUUGUUGGAAGAAAGCGGGGAUGCCACUCGGGGGCAUCCCCAAGCUUAGUUGGUUGCUCUUUUUUGGAUAAUAGCUUGGGAUUCUGGGGCAUCCCCAAGCUUAAUAUCUUCCAUCCUUCAUCCAUCGUAAGAUAACCCAAAACUUGAAAACUUCAAUCACACAGAACUCAACAAAACCUUCGUGAGAUCCGUUAGUAUAAGAAUAAUAAAUCACUACUAUAAGUGCUGUAUCAAAACAAUUCAUAUUUUGUUUUUGUAUUAUAUCUACUAUAUUCCAACUUUUCUAUGGCAAAAACUCAUAAAAAAAACCAUAGAGCCAUCAAAAUAAGCACACAACACAAAGAAAAUAGAAUAUGUCAAAACAGAACAGUCUGUAGCAAUCUGACUAUUUCGUAUACUUCCGUAACUCCAAAAAUUCUCAAAAAUUAGGACGACCUGAGAAAUUUGUAUAUUGAUCUACUGCAAGUGGAAUGGGUAUUGUAUAGCUCUCUGGUAAAAAAUUAAAAUUAAUUUUGUGAGCAUAAAAGUUUCUAUUUUUCAGCAAGAUCAAACAACUAUCACCCAAGAAGAUCCUAAAGGCUUUACUUGGCACAAACACUAAUUAAAGCAUAAAAACACAAUCAUAACAGUAGCAUAUGCUAACACUCAAGAAUAGAAGGCAAAAGGCAAAAAUAAAAUUUAUUCAUUGGGUUGCCUCCCAACAAGCGAUAUAGUUUUACGCCCUUAGCUAGGCGUAAAGCAAGGAUCUAAGUUUUGUCAUCUUUGUUCACUUCUUCAAUCAAACACUUAGGAUCCUUCGGAGAUUUAGCAUAAAUAUUUUCAAUAACAAUACUGCUAGGAAUAAAUUGAAAGAUUUCAUGCUUGCAAAAAGGAUCUCUUAUCACUUCAGCAAAAUCCGGGUGAACACUAAUCAUCUUAAGACCUCCAUUAUUACUAUUACUAGAAGUUGCACCCUUGUUCUUGGAUAUACCCAUCCUCACGGGAGUUUUCUCGAUAGUUUUAGCGGAAGCGAAAGCCGUGCUUAGAUUACUAAAGAUUUCUUCUAAUUUAUCAAUUCAAGACAGACUUUCUUAUAUUCUUUCAUGGAUUAAGGUACCCUUCUAUUUUAACAACUUAAGAAUAUCUCCAACUUUUGACCCAAUAUUGGUAGAAAAAAUAUGAUUUUUUAUCUAUAAUUUCCAUAUGAUCUUCGGUGAGCAUUUUCUUUUCAAUAGCAUCUAGUCUUUCCAUAACAUGCUCAAGAGUCAAAGUUGUUUCAUUAAUCAUAAGUGGUGGUGAACCCACUAAAUUUCCCAUAGAAUUGAAGGCAUCAAGAGAAGGACACAUCAAGAAAUUUCCACCGGUAAUCGCAUCGAGGACGAAUCUAUACCAAGUGAUGCCAACAUAAAAACAACGAAGAAGAACAACAGUGGAUUGCUUACGGGUAGAUAUAUUAUGAGCAUUGCAAAUCCUAUACCAAGCAUCUUUUAAAUUUUCUCCCCCCCUUUGUUUAAAGUUGAGAACCUCGUUCUUGGGAGUGCAAGCAAUAGAGGAAGAACUAUCCAUAAUGAUAAUAAUAGCAAACAAGGUUGCACACAAAGAUAGACUCGAUACGAAAACGGCGAACGGAAAAGAGAGGCGAAUAAAACGACAAUUUUUGUGAAGUGGGGGAGAGAAAAAUGAGAGGCAAAUGGCAAAUAAUGUAAAUUGCGAGGAGAUGAGGUUUUUUUAUUAGGAACCUGGUAUAUGUUGAAGAUCCUCCCCGGCAACGGUGCCAGAAAUUCCAUUUGAUGUCACUUGAAGCUAUGUCGGUAUUUCCCCAAAGAGGAAGGGAUGAUGCAACACAUCGACGGUAGGUAUUUCCCACAGAUAUGAAACCAAGGUUAUCAAACUAGUAGGAGAACCAAGCAACACAACGUAAACAACCCCUGCGCACAGAUACCAAAUCCUCACAACCCAAUGUGUUAAAGGGGUUGUCAAUCCCUUUCGGGUAACAGUGCCAGAAAUUGGUGUGUGACGGGAAAAAGUUGUAAUAGAUUGAAUAAAUAGAUCACAAAUAAAAUAAAGUGCAGCAAAGUAUUUUUGGGUUUUUGGAUUAAUAGAUCUGAAAAUAAAAGCAAAUAAAAAUAGAUCGCAAAGGCAAAUAUAUGAGAAAGAAGACCCGGGGGCCGUAGGUUUCACUAGUGGCUUCUCUCGAGAAAAAUAGGAAACUGUGGGUAAACAAAUUACUGUUGCGCAAUUGAUAGAACCUCAAAUACUUAUGACGAUAUCUAGGCAAUGAUCAUUAUAUAGGCAUCACGUCCAAGAUUAGUAGACCGACUCCAGCCUGCAUCUACUACUAUUACUCCACACAUCGACUGCUAGCCAGCAUGCAUCUAGUGUAUUAAGUUCAUGGAGAAAUGGAGUAAUGCAAUAAGAAUGAUGACAUGAUGUAGACAAGAUCCAUCUAUGUAGAGGUAGACCGCACCAUUUUAUCCUUAGUAGCAACGAUACAUACGUGUCGUUUCCCUUUUUGUCACUUGGAUCAAGCACCGUAAGUUCGAACACACUACAAAGCACCUCUUCCCAUUGCAAGAUAAAUAGAUUAAGUUGGCCAAACAAAACCCAAAUACCGGAGAAGAAAUACGAGGCUAUAAGAAAUCAUGCAUAUAAGAGAUCAAAGAAACUCAAAUUACUUUCAUGGAUAUAAAAAGAUAGAUCUGAUCAUAAACUCAAAGUUCAUCGGAUCCCAACAAACACACCGCAAAAGAGUUACAUCAUAUGGAUCUCCAAGAGACCAUUGUAUUGAGAAUCAAGAGAGAGAGAUGAAGCCAUCUAGCUACUAACUACGGACCCGAAGGUCUACAAAGAACUACUCACACAUCAUCGGAGAGGCACCAAUGGAGGUGGUGAACCCCAUCCGAGAUGGUGUUUAGAUUGUAUCUGGUGGUUCUGGACUCUGUGGCGGCUGGAUGAAUAUUUCGUCAACUCCCCUAGGGUUCUGGGAUUUUGGGGGUAUUUAUAGAGCAAAGAUGCGGUCCGGGGGGCACCCGAGGUGGGCACAACCCACCAGGGCGCGCCUGGGCCUCCUAGCGCACCCUGGUGGGUUGUGCCUCCCUCGGGGCACCCCCCAGGCACAGCCAGGGCCCGUUGUGUUCCUUUUGGCACAUAAAAAUUCUCCGUAAAGUUUCGUGCCAUUUGGACUCCGUCUGGUAUUGAUUUUCUACGAUGUAAAAAACACAGAAAAAUAGGAACUGGCACUUGGCACUAUGUCAAUAGGUUAGUACCAAAAAAAUGACUAUAAAAUGAGUAUAAAACAUCCAAGAUUGAUAAUAUAACAACAUGGAAGAAUCGAAAAUUAUAGAUACGUUGGAGACGUAUCAUGGUCCGAAGGGACGACGCGACGACAACUCAUGGCUCGAUUGGCGGUAGGCGCGCGCUCGGGGACGGGCUUGGCGAAGACAGGCACGUGCUCGGUUGCUCGGACCGACAACGACAAUGUAUGUACCAUGGCGGGGACGAUGCACAGAUCGGAGUCGAUGGCGACGUUGUCGGUGAUGUCCUGGGUGAUGACGACGAAGACAAACCAGCAAUGGAGACUACGCAGGCGAGCGGCCGGCAGCGACACACGAAGGCGUCCCUUGGGCGGCGCGUCUAGCCUUGCCGCACGGUUGAUGAUGAAGCGGCCGGUGUAGUCGACGCCGAUGUCAGAGUAGAGGCGCAGGGGUCGACGGCAGCGGUGGGCGACGCAAACCUAUCAAGCAUAGAUCAGAAAACCAAAAAGAAAAUGCCGAUAAAAACGACCGGCGAGAGAGCAAAAAAACCCAUAGCAAGAGCUUGGGAAAAAGACUCUCUAGGGCAUCCGGUCAAUAUGACCGGCAGACGAACCCUAGGUACAGGAGGCGCGGCCCCUGGCGGCGGUCAUGGAGGCCGACCGCCCCCGGGGCGGCGGCGGGUGCGGAAGCGGCGAUAGCUAGGGUUUAUGUUUGAUUAGGCUGAUACCAUUUUAGAAGGGAGAGAGGGGUGCGGUGAAGGAAAUAUGCCCUAGAGGCAAUAAUAAAGUUGUUAUUUAUAUUUCCUUAUAUCAUGAUAAAUGUUUAUUAUUCAUGCUAGACUUGUAUUAACCGGAAACUUAGUACAUGUCUGAAUACAUAGACAAACAGAGUGUCACUAGUUUGCCUCUACUUGACUAGCUCGUUGAAUCAAUGAUGGUCAUGUUUCCUAACCAUAGACAUGAGUUGUCAUUUGAUUAACGGGAUCACAUCAUUAGAGAAUGAUGUGAUUGACUUGACCCAUCCGUUAGCUUAGCACGAUGAUCGUUUAGUUUGAUGCUAUUACUUUCUUCAUGACUUAUACAUGUUCCUAUGACUAUGAGAUUAUGCAACUCCCGAGUACCAGAGGAACACUUUGUGUGCUACCAAACGUCACAAUGUAACUGGGUGAUUAUAAAGGUGCUCUACAGGUGUCUUCGAUGGUACUUGUUGAGUUGGCAUAGAUCAAAAUUAGGAUUUGUUACUCUGAUUGUCGGAGAGGUAUCUCUGGGCCCUCUCGGUAAUGCACAUCACUAUAAGCCUUGCAAGCAUUGUGAAUAAUGAGUUAGUUGCGGGAUGAUGCAUUACAGAAAGAGUAAAGAGACUUGCCGAUAACGAGAUUGAACUAGGUAUAAGGAUACCGACGAUCGAAUCUCAGGCAAGUAACAUACCGAUGACAAAGGGAACAACGUAUGUUGUUAUGCGGUUUUGACCGAUAAAGAUCUUCGUAGAAUAUGUAGGAACCAAUAUGAGCAUCCAAGUUCCGCUAUUGGUUAUUGACCGGAAACGAGUCUCGGUCAUGUCUACAUAGUUCUCGAACCCGUAGGGUCCGCACGCUUAAAGUUUGGUGACAAUCGGUAUUAUGAGUUUAUGUGUUUUGAUGUACCGAAGGUAGUUUGGACUUCCGAAUGUGAUCACAGACAUGACGAGGAGUCUCGAAAUGGUCAAGACGUAAAGAUUGAUAUAUUGGACGACUAUAUUCGGACACCAGAAGUGUUCCGGAUGGUUUCGGAGAAAACCGGAGUGCUGGAGGGGUUACCGGAACCCCCGAGGAAGUAUUGGCCUUAGUGGGCCUGAGGGGAGAGAGAGAGGGCAGCAGCCCAGGAGGUAGCGCGCCCCCUCCCAUGAGGAGUCUGAAUUGGACUAGGGGAGGAGGGCGCGGCCCCUCUUUCCCUCUCCCUCUCCCUCUCUUUCCUUCCCCCUUCCCCCUUCCUAGUAGGACUAGGAAAGGAUGAAUCCUACUCCUACUAGGAGGAGGAUUCCUCCUCUCCUUGGGGCGCACCAAGGCCAGCCGGCCUCCCCCCUUGCUCCUUUAUAUAUGGGGGCGGGGGGGGGGGGCACCCAGAGACACACAAGUUGAUUGUUCCAAGCCGUGUGCGGUGCCCCCCUCCACCAUAAUCCACCUCGAUCAUAUCGUAGCAGUGCUUAGGUGAAGCAGUACGUCGGUAGCAACAUCAUCACCGUCAUCAUGCCGUUGUGCUGACGGAACUCUCCCGCAAAGCUUUGCUGGAUCGGAGUUCAUGGGACGUCAUCAAGCUGAACGUGUGCUGAACUCGGAGGUGCCGUACGUUCGGUACUUGGAUCGGUCGGAUCGUGAAGACGUACGACUACAUCAACCGUGUUCUCAUAACGCUUCCGCUUAUGGUUUACGAGGGUACGUGGACGAUACUCUCCCCUCUCGUUGCUAUGCAUCACCAUGAUCUUGCGUGUGCAUAGGAAAAUUUUGAAAUUACUACGUUUCCCAACAGUGGUAUCCGAGCCAGGUUUAUGCGUAGAUGUCAUAUGCACGAGUAGAACACAAAGGAGUUGUGGGCGUGGGUAUAUACAUAUUGCUUGUCGUCACUAGUUGAUUCUUGAUUCAGCGGCAUUGUAGGAUGAAGCAGCCCAGACUGACAUUAUACGCACGCUUACGCGAGACUGGUUCUACCGACGUGCUUCACACACAGGUGGCUAGUGAGUGUCUGUUUCUCCAGCUUUAGUUGAAUCGGAUUCAAUGAACAGGGUUCUUUCUGAAGAUCAAAAAGCAAUCACUAUACCGCAUUGUGGUUUUUGAUGCGUAGGUAAGAACGGUUCUUGCUCAGCCCGUAGCAGCCACGUAAAACUAGCAACAAUAAAGUAGAGGACGUCUAACUUGUUUUUGCAGGGCAUGUUGUGAUGUGAUAUGGUUAAGACAUGAUGCUAAAUUUUAUUGUAUGAGAUGUUCAUGUUUUGUAACACAGUUAUCGACAAGUGGCAGGAGCCAUAUGGUUGUUGCUUUAUUGUAUGAAAUGCAAUCGCCAUGUAAUUGCUUUACUUUAUCACUAAGUGGUAGCGCUAGUCGUGGAAGCAAUAAUUGGCGUGACGACAAUGAUGCUUUGAUGGAGAUCAAGGUGUCAAGCCGGUGACGAUGGUGAUCAUGACAAUGAUGCUUUCGUUCCGUAUCUUCUGACGUGGGGUCCAAGUCCAUCAGGUGUGUUUCCUUCCAAAAAUAACUUCUCCAGUUGGAUUUCGUUCCGUUUUGACUCCGUCUGAUAUUCCUUUUCUUCGAAACACUGAAAUAGGCAUAAAACAGCAAAUGGGGCGCGCCCCCACCCUCGUGGGCAGCUCCCGUAUCUUCUGACGUGGGUUCCAAGUCCAUCAGGUGUGUUUCCUUCCAAAAAUAACUUCUCCAGUUCAUUUCGUUCCGUUUCGACUCCGUCUGAUAUUCCUUUUCUUCGAAACACUGAAAUAGGCAUAAAAUAGCAAAUCUGGGCUGGGCCUCCAGUUAAUAGGUUAGUCCUGAAAGUAAUAUAAAAGUGGAUAAUAAAGCCCAAUAUUGCCCAAAAUAGUAGAUAAUAUAGCAUGGAGCAAUAAAAAAUUAUAGAUAUGUUGGAGACGUAUCAAGCAUCCCCAAGCUUAAUUCCUGCUCGUCCUCGAGUAGGUAAAUGAUAAAAAAGAUAAUUUUUGAUGUGGAAUGCUAGUUGGCAUAAUUUCAAUGUAAUUCUUCCUACUUGUGAUAUGAAUAUUCAGAUCCGUAAGAUUCAAGACAAAAGUUCAUUUUGACAUAAAAAAUAAUAAUACUUCAAGCAUACUAACAAAGCAAUUAUGUCUUCUCAAAAUAACAUGGCCAAAGAAAGCUAUCCCUACAAAAUCAUAUAGUAUGGCUAUGCUCUAUCUUCACCACACAAAAUAUUUAAAUCAUGCACAACCCCGAUGGCAAGCCAAGCAAUUGUUUCAUAGUUUUGAUGUUCUCAAACUUUUUCAAUCUUCACGCAAUACAUGAGCGUGAGCCAUGGAUAUAGCACUAUAGGUGGAAUAGAGUGGUGGUUGUGGAGAAGACAAAAAGGGAGAAGAUAGUCUCACAUCAACUAGGCGUAUCAACGGGCUAUGGAGAUGCCCAUCAAUAGAUAUCAAUGUGAGUGAGUAGGAUUGCCAUGCAACGGAUGCACUAGAGUUAUAAAUGUAUGAAAGCUCAACAAAAGAAACUAGUGGGUGUGCAUCCAACUCGCUUGCUCACGAAGACCUAGGACAUUUUGAGGAAGCCCAUCAUUGGAAUAUACAAGCCAAGUUCUAUAAUGAAAGAUUCCCACUAGUAUAUGAAAGUGACAACAUAGGAGACUCUCUAUCAUGAAGAUCAUGAUGCUACUUUGAAGCACAAGUGUGGAAAAAGGAUAAUAGCAUUGCCCCUUUUAUUUUUUUAUAUAUUUUUAUUUGGCCUUUCCCCUUUUUUUAUUUGGCCUUUAUUUUUUUUAUUUGGCCUUUCUCUUUUUUUGGGGGACAAUGCUCUAUUGAAUGAUGAUCAUCACACUUCUAUUUAUUUACAACUCAAUGAUACAACUCGAUACUAGAACAAAGAUGACUCUAUAUGAAUGCCUCCGGCGGUGUACCGGGAUAUGCAAUGAAUCAAGAGUGACAAGUAUGCAAAAAUUAUGAACGGUGGCUUUGCACAAAUACAAUAUCAACUACAUGAUUAUGCUAAGCAAUAUGACAAUGAUGGAGUGUGUCAUGAUGAACUAGAUGGUGGAAAGUUGCAUGGCAAUAUAUCUCAGAAUGGCUAUGGAAAUGCCAUAAUAGGUAGGUAUGGUGGCUGUUUUGAGGAAGGUAUAUGGUAGGUGUAUGAUACCGGUGAAAGUUGCGCGGUACUAGAGAGGCUAGCAAAGGUGGAAGGGUGAGAGUGCGCAUGAUCCAUGGACUCAACAUUAGUCAUAAAGAACUCAUAUACUUAUUGCAAAAAUCUAGAAGUUAUCAAAGCAAAGUAUUACGCACAUGCUCCUAGGGGGAUAGAUUGGUAGGAAAAGACCAUCACUCAUCCCCGACCGCCACUCAUAAGGAAGACAAUCAAUAAAUAAAUCAUGCUCCGACUUCAUCACAUAACGGUUCACCAUACGUGCAUGCUACGGGAAUCACAAACUUUAACACAAGUAUUCUUUAAAUUCACAACUACUCAACUAGCAUGACUUUAAUAUUAUCACCUCCAUAUCUCAAAACAAUUAUCAUGCUUCAAACUUCUCAUAGUAUUCAACACACUCAUAAGAGAAUUUUAUUAUUCUUGAAUACCUAGCAUAUUAGGAUUUUAAGAAAAUUACCAUGCUAUUUAGGACUCUCAAAAUAAUAUAAGUGAAGUAUGAGAGUUCAUCUAUUUCUUCAAAAUAAAACUACCACCAUGCUCUAAAAGAUAUAAGUGAAGCACUAGAGCAAAUGACAAACUACUCCGAAAUAUAUAAGUGAAGAUCAAUGAGUAGUCGAAUAAUUAUGCAACUAUGUGAAGACUCUCUAACAUUUAAUAAUUUCAGAUCUUGGUAUUCUAUUCAAACAGCAAGCAAAGCAAAAUAAAAUGACAUCUAAGAAUAGCAAACAUCAUGUGAAGAAGCAAAACUUAGGAUCAACCGAUACUAACCGAUAAUUGUUGAAGAAGAAAGGUGGGAUGCCAACCGGGGCAUCCCCAAGCUUAGAUGCUAGAGACUUCUUGAAAUAUUAUCUUGGGAUGCCUUGGGCAUCCCCAAGCUUGAUAUUUUGUAUCUCCUUAAUUCCUCUCAUACCACGGUCUCCCUAAAUCUCAAAAGCUUCAUCCACACAAAACUGAACAAGGACUCGUGAGAUAAGUUAGUAUAAACCAUUGCCAAAACCUUAUCAUACUCCACUGUAGCAAAUCACUAAAACUAUUAUUCAACAUUGCAUACUAAAUGCCUCUGCAUAUUUAAUAGUCCUAUCCUCAAAUAGAAUCAUUAAUGAAGCAAACAUAUACGAACAAUGCAAACAUAACAACAAUCUGCCUAAACAGGAUAGUCUGUAAAGAAUGCUGCAACAUCCAUACUUCCCUAGCUCCAAAAAUUAUGAAAUAAAAUUCCCACUGUAGUAAAUCUAUGAUAUCUUAAUAUGAAAAAGGUUUCAACAUUUUACCACAUUCUGACUUUUCCAGGGAAUUAUUGCAACAGCGGUAAACUUUCUGUUUUCAAACAACAACAUGUAUACUUGUAACAUAGGAAUAGUAAAGGCUAUCAAUGCCACUUUUAUUGAAAUAAAAGAUGCAAAACAUUGUUCUAAAUAACAUCAAGCAAAUCCUAACAAAAUAAAUUGACACUCCAAGCAAAACACAUAUCAUGUGGCGAAUAAAAAUAUAGCUCCAAGUAAAGUUACCGAUGAACGAAGACGAAAGAGGGGAUGCGUUCCGGGGCAUCCCCAAGCUUAGGCUCUUGGUUGUCCUUGAAUAUUACCUUGGGGUGCCUUGGGAAUCCCCAAGCUUAGUCUCUUGCCACUCCUUAUUCCAUAGUCCAUCGAAUCCUUACCCAAAACUUGAAAACUUCACAACACAAAACUUAACAGAAAAACUCGUAAGCUCCGUUAGUAUAAGAAAAUAAAUCACCACUCCAAGGUACUGUAAUGAACUCAUUCUUUAUUUAUAUUGGUGUUAAACCUAUUGUAUUACAACUUCUCUAUGGUUUAUAAACUAUUUUACUAGCCAUAGAUUCAUCAAAAUAAGCAAACAACACACGAAAAACAGAAUCUGUCAAAAACAGAACAGUCUGUAGUAAUCUGAAUCAAACGUAUACUUCUGGAACUCAUAAAAUUCUCAAAUAAAUUGCUGGACCUGAGUAAUUUAUCUAUUAAUUAUCUGAAAAAAGAAUUAACUAAAUAACACUCUCCAAAUAAAAAUGGAAGCAAUUCUCAUGAGCGCUAAAGUUUCUGUUUUUUACAGCAUGAUCAACAAGACUUUCCCCAAGUCUUCCCAAAGGUUCUACUUGGCACAAACACUAAUUAAAAGCAUAAAACCACAUCUAAACAGAUGCUAGAUGAAUUAUUUAUUACUAAACAGGAACAAAAAGCAAGGGACAAAAGUAAAAUUGGGUUGCCUCCCAACAAGCGCUAUCGUUUAAUGCCCUUAGCUAGGCAUGAUGAUUUCAACGAUGCUCACAUAAAGGAUAAGAAUUGUAACAUAAAGAGAGCAUCAUGAAGAAUAUGACUAGCACAUUUAAGUCUAACAUGCUUCCUAUGAAUAGGGAUUUUGUGAGCAAACUAUUUGUGAGAACAAGAAUCAACUUGCAUAGGAAGGUAAAACAAGUAUAACUUCAAAACUUUAAGCACAUAGAGAGGAAACUUGAUAUUAUUGCAAUUCCUACAAGCAUAAGUUCCUCCCUCAUAAUAAUUUUCAGUAGCAUCAUGAAUGAAUUCCACAAUAUAACCAGCACCAAAAGCAUUCCUUUCAUGAUGUACAAGCAUAGAAAUUUUACUACUCUCCACAUAAGCAAAAUUCUUCUCAUUCGGGAUAGUGGGAGUAUCAUAAGAGACUUGGAUACUAUAAAUUGUUUCCACAUUAAAAGAGUAAUGUUCAGAAAAGGGGUAACCAUAAUCAUGACAAGUUUUAUAAAUAUAAUCCUCACUACUUUUUAUAGCAUAUGUAUCAUCACAAUAAUUAUCAUAAGUAGGAGGCAUGUUAUUAUCAUUAUGAAUUUGCAUAUCAAAACUUGGGAGACUAAAAAUAUAAUCUUCAUUAAGCGUAGCAUCCCCAAGCUUGGGACAAACAUUAAUUGCAGCAAAUAUAUUCUCAAAUAUGUCAUCCUCAUCAAACAUAGCUUCCCCAAGCUUGGGCCUUUUUGUAUCAUAAGCAUAAUCACUCUCAUCAUUAAUAGCAUGGAUAGCACCAAUAGUAUAGCAAUUAUUAUAUUCUUCCAAGCAAGUACCAAAAAGAUUUUCAAGAUCAUAAGAAGUAUCAUUAUCUUCCCAAUCAUAAUCAUCACAACAAGCAAUAGGCAUAACGAGAUUACCAUCAAGUGUAUCAUCUUCAUUUUCAUGAGGCACAGCAAUAAUAGGAGCAACUUUAUUUGGGAGAGAUACCUUUUCACCUCUCUUCCUUUUUCUUUUCUUCUUCUUCACCACAUCAUGUGUGGGUUCAAUCCUAUUUUUGGAGCUCAUUAUUAAUGAGAUUGGUUGAAUAGGAGGCUCCUCCUCGUUACCUGGUUCAUCAUAAGAAAUAAUAGGAGGAUAUUGGGAAGUCUCUUCCCUUUCAUUAGUAUUCUCUCCAUCCUCUAUUUCUUUUCUUUUCUUUAUUUAAUUGGCAAUAUAAGGAUUUUCAAUGCAAUUCACCGCACAAUACAUAUAAAUAUUCUCUAGAUCAAAAUCAAGAACUCUAUCAAGAUUAAACUUUGGAAUACCCUCAGUUAUACGUUUCAUUUCUUCAUAACCCAAAAGAAGGCUAAGCUCUUUAUGAUGCUCAAGGGUAAUCAAAUUAUCACAAUGUUUGGACACGACUUGAUCAUGAAACAAAUAACAUUGGAGCUUUAAAUGACCAUGUUGAUUGCAAAGUUCACAAGGGGCACGAAAAAUAUUGAAUCUUUCAGCACAUUCAUCUAGGCUUUCUUGCAACAAUUUGGUUUCUAAGUACUUAUGCCUCUUGCAAUAUCUAUCUUCCCUAUUUGGUGUGUACUUGCAAACCCAGUCUACUCCACAAAAAUUGACAUGUUUAUAGGAGGCAUUUUCAUCAUAACUAGUGCAAUCAUCAUUAGCAUCAUGGAUAUUCAAGGAAUUCAUACUAACAGCAUUGCAAUCAUGCUCAUCAUUAAAAUAUUUAGUGCCAAACAUUUUAUAUAUUUCUUCUUCUAGCACUUGAGCACAAUUAUCCUUUCCAUCAUAUUCACGAAAUAUAUUAAAAAGAUGAAGCGUAUGAGACAAACUCAAUUCCAUUUUUUAGAUUUUUCUUUUAUAAACUAAACUAGUGAUAAAACAAGAAACUAAAAGACUCGAUUGCAAGAUCUAAAGAUAUACCUUCAAGCACUCACCUCCCCGGCAACGGCGCCAGAAAAGAGCUUGAUGUCUACUACACAACCUUCUUCUUGUAGACGUUGUUGGGCCUCCAAGUGCAGAGGUUUGUAGGACAGUAGCAAAUUUCCCUCAAGUGGAUGACCUAAGGUUUAUCAAUCCGUAGGAGGCGUAGGAUGAAGAUGGUCUCUCUCAAGCAACCCUGCAACCAAAUAACAAAGAGUCUCUUGUGUCCCCAACACACCCAAUACAAUGGUAAAUUAUAUAGGUGCACUAGUUCGGCGAAGAGAUGGUGAAACAAGUGGUAUAUGGAUAGUAGAUAAAGGUAUUUGUAAUCUGAAAUAAUAAAAAUAGUAAGGUAACUAAUGAUAAAAGUGAGCGUAAACGGUAUUGCAAUGCGUUGAAACAAGGCCUAGGGUUCAUACUUUCACUAGUGUAAGUCCUCUCAAUAAUACUAACAUAAUUGGAUCAUAAAACUAUCCCUCAACAUGCAACAAAGAUUCACUCCAAAGUCACUAAUAGCAGAGAACGAACGAAGAGAUUAUGGUAGGGUACGAAACCACCUCAAAGUUAUUCUUUCCAAUCAAUCCGUUGGGCUAUUCCUAUAAGUGUCACAAACAGCCCUAGAGUUCGUACUAGAAUAACACCUUAAGACACGAAUCAACCAAAACCCUAAUGUCACCUAGAUACUCCAAUGUCACCUCAAGUAUCCGUGGGUAUGAUUAUACGAUAUGCUUCACACAAUCUCAGAUUCAUCUAUUCAACCAACACAAAGGACCUCAAAGAGUGCCCCAAAGUUCCUACCGGAGAAUCACGACGAAAAUGUGUGCAACCCCUAUGCAUAGGUUCCCAAUGUCACGAAACCCGCAAGUUGAUCACCAAGACAUACAUCAAGUGGCACGUGAUAUCCCAUUGUCACCACAAAUACGCACGGCAAGACAUACAUCAAGUGUUCUCAAAUCUUUAAAGACUCAAUCCGAAAAGACAACUCCAAAGGGAAAACUCAAUUCAUUACAAUAGAGAAUAGGGGGAGGAGAAACAUAGGAUCCAACUAUAAUAGCAAAGCUCGUGAUACAUCAAGAUCGUAUCAUCUCAAGAACACGAGAGAGAGAGAGAGAGAGAGAGAGAGAGAUCAAACACAUAGCUACUGAUACAUACCCUCAGCCCCGAGGGAGAACUACUCCCUCCUCGUCAUGGAGAGCACCGGGAUGAUGAAGAUGGCCACCGGAGAAGGAUUUCCCCCUCCGGCAGGGUGCCGGAACGGGUCUAGAUUGGUUUUCGGUGGCUACGGAGGCUUCUGGCGGUGGAACUCUCGAUCUAUUGUGUGUUCUGGAAGUUUUAGGGUAUAUGGAGUUAUAUAGGCAGAAGAAGCACGUCAGGGGAGCCACGGGGGCCCCAUGAGGCAGGGGGCGCCCCAGGGGGGUGGGCGCGCCCCCCACCCUCGUGGGCAGCUCCCGUAUCUUCUGACGUGGGGUCCAAGUCCAUCAGGUGUGUUUCCUUCCAAAAAUAACUUCUCCAGUUGAUUUCGUUCCGUUUCGACUCCGUCUGAUAUUCCUUUUCUUCGAAACACUGAAAUAGGCAUAAAACAGCAAAUCUGGGCUGGGCUCCGGUUAAUAGGUUAGUCCCGAAAGUAAUAUAAAAGUGGAUAAUAAAGCCCAAUAUUUCCCAAAACAGUAGAUAAUAUAGCAUGGAGCAAUCAAAAAUUAUAGAUACAUUGGAGACGUAUCACCAAACCUGCUGCUGGAGCAACGCCACAUGUUAUGAACGUCUAGCAGAGCAAAGCUGAUGACUACUCGAUAGUUUAGUGUGCCAUGCUUUACGUCUUAGAACCGGGACUUCAACGACGUUUUGAACAUCAUGAAACAUAUGAGAUGUUCCAGGAGUUGAAGUUAAUAUUUCAAGCAAAUGCCCAGAUUGAGAGAUAUGAAGUCUCCAAUAAAUUCUACAGCUGCAGAAUGUCUGGGUAUCACAACCACUUGACUCAACUAGGAGUUAAUCUUCUUGUUGAUGGUGUCAUUGACAGAGUUCUUCAAUCACUGCCACCAAGCUACAAGAGCUUCGUGAUGAACUAUAAGAUGCAAGGGAUGGAUAAGGCGAUUCCCGAGCUCUUCGCAAUGCUAAAGGCUACCGAGGUAGAAAUCAAGAAGGAGCAUCAAGUGUUCAUUGUCAACAAGACCACCAGUGUCAAGAAAAAGGGUAAAGGGAUGAAGGGGAACUUCAAAAAGAACGGCAAGCAAGUUGCUGCUCAAGUGAAGAAGCCCAAGUCUGGACCUAAGCCUGAGACUGAGUGCUUCUACUACAAAGGGACUGGUCACUGGAAGCGGAACUGCCCCAAGUAUUUGGCGGAUAAGAAGGAUGGCAAGGUGAACAAAGGUAUAUGUGAUAUACAUGUUAUUGAUGUGUACCUUACUAGUGCUCGCAGUAGCACCUGGGUAUUUGAUACUGGUUCUGUUGCUAAUAUUUGCAACUCGAAAUAGGGGCUAUGGAUUAAGCGAAGAUUGGCUAAGGACGAGGUGACGAUGCGCGUGGGAAAUGGUUCCAAAGUUGAUGUGAUCGCGGUCAGCACGGUACCUCUACAUCUACCUUCGGGAUUAGUUUUAGACCUAAAUAAUUGUUAUUUGGUGCCAGCGUUGAGCAUGAACAUUAUAUCUGGAUCUUGUUUGAUGCGAGACGGUUAUUCAUUUAAAUCUGAGAAUAAUGGUUGUUCUAUUUAUAUGAGUAAUAUAUUUUAUGGUCAUGCACCCUUGAAGAGUGGUCUAUUUUUGAUGAAUCUCGAUAGUAGCGAUACACAUAUUCAUAAUAUUGAAGCUAAAAGAUGCAGAGUUGAUAAUGAUAGUGCAACUUAUUUGUGGCACUACCGUUUAGGUCAUAUUGGUGUAAAGUGCAUGAAGAAACUCCAUUCUGAUGGACUUUUGGAAUAACUUGAUUAUGAAUCACUUGGUACUUGCGAACCAUGCCUCUUGGGCAAGAUGACUAAAACGCCAUUCUCCGGAACUAUGGAGCGAGCAACAGAUUUGUUGGAAAUCAUACAUACUGAUGUGUGUGGUCCGAUGAAUGUUGAGGCUCGCAGCGGGUAUUGUUAUUUUCUCACCUUCACAUAUGGUUUGAGUAGAUAUGGGUAUAUCUACUUGAUGAAACAUAAGUCUGAAACAUUUGAAAAGUUCAAAGAAUUUCAGAGUGAAGUGGAAAAUCAUCGUAACAAGAAAAUAAAGUUUCUAUGAUCUAAUCAUGGAGGAGACUAUUUGAGUUAGGAGUUUGGUCUUCAUUUGAAACAAUGCGGAAUAGUUUCGCAACUCACGCCACCCGGAACACCACAGCGUAAUGGUGUGUCCGAACAUCAUAAUCGUACUUUACUAGAUAUGGUGCGAUCUAUGAUGUCUCUUACUGAUUUACCGCUAUCGUUUUGGGGUUAUGCUUUAGAGACGGCCGCAUUCACAAUAAAUAGGGCACCAUCUAAAUCCGUUGAGACGACGCCUUAUGAACUGUGGUUUGGCAAGAAACUAAAGUUGUCGUUUCUUAAAGUUUGGGGAUGCGAUGCUUAUGUGAAAAAACUUCAACCUGAUAAGCUCGAACCCAAAUUAGAGAAAUGUGUCUUCAUAGGAUACCCGAAGGAGACUGUUGGGUACACCUUCUAUCACAGAUCCGAAGGCAAGAUAUUCGUUGCUAAGAAUGGAUCCAUUCUAGAGAAGGAGUUUCUCUCGAAAGAAAUGAGUGGUAGGAAAGUAGAACUUGAUGAGGUAAUUGUACCUGCUACUUUAUUGGAAAGUAGUUCAUCACAGAAAUCUGUUCCUAUGACUCCUACACCAAUUAGUGAGGAAGCUAAUGAUGAAGAUCAUGUAACUUCAUAUCAAGUUACUACCGAACCUCGUAGGUCAACCAGAGUAAGAUCCACACCAGAGUGGUAUGGUAAUCCUAUUCUGGAAGUCAUGUUACUUGACCAUGAUGAACCUACGAACUAUGAGGAAGCAAUGAUGAGCCCAAAUUCCGCAAAAUGGCUUGAGGCCAUGAAAUCUGAGAUAGGAUCCAUGUAUGCGAACAAAGUGUGGACUUUAGUUGACUUGCCCGAUGAUUGGCAAGCCAUCGAGAAUAAAUGGAUCUUCAAGAAGAAGACUGACGCUGACUGUAAUGUUACUGUCAAGAAAGCUCGACUUGUUGCGAAAGGUUUUCAACAAGUUCAAGAAGUUGACUACGAUGAGACCUUCUCACCUGUAGCGAUGCUUAAGUCCGUCCGGAUCAUGUUAGCAAUUGCCGCAUCUUAUGAUUAUGAAAUUUGGCAAAUGGAUGUAAAGACUGCAUUCCUGAAUGGAUUUCUGGAAGAAUAGUUGUAUAUGAUGCAACCUGAAGGUUUUAUCGAUCCAAAGGGUGCUAACAAACUGUGCAAGCUCCAGCGAUCCAUCUAUGGACUGGUGCAAGCAUCUCGGAGUUGGAAUAAACAUUUUGAUAGUGUGAUCAGAGCAUAUAGUUUUAUACAGACUUUUGGAGAAGCCUGAAUUUACUAGAAAGUGAGUGGGAGCUCUGUAGCAUUUCUAAUAUUAUAUGUGGAUGACAUAUUGCUAAUUGGAAAUGAUGUAGAAUUUCUGGAUAGCAUAAAAGGAUACUUGAACAAGAGUUUUUCAAUGAAAGACCUCGGUGAAGCUGCUUAUAUAUUGGGCAUCAAGAUCUACAGAGAUAGACCAAGACGCUUAAUUGGACUUUCAUAAAGCACAUACCUUGAUAAAGUUUUGAAGAAGUUCAAAAUGGAUCAAGCAAAGAAAGGGUUCUUGCCUGUGUUACAAGGUGUGAAGUUGAGUCAGAAUCAAUGCCCGACCACUGCAGAAGAUAGAGAGAAAAUGAAAGAUGUUCCCUAUGCUUCAGCCAUAGGCUCUAUCAUGUAUGCAAUGCUGUGUACCAGACCUGAUGUGUGCCUUGCUAUUAGUUUAGCAGGGAGGUAUCAAAGUAAUCCAGGAGUGGAUCACUGGACAACGGUCAAGAACAUCCUGAAAUACCUGAAAAGGACUAAGGAUAUGUUUCUCGUUUAUGGAGGUGACAAAGAGCUCGUUGUAAAUGGUUACGUCGAUGCAAGCUUUGACACGGAUCCAGAUGACUCUAAGUCACAAACCGGAUACAUGUUUUUAUUGAACGGUGGAGCUGUCAGUUGGUGCAGUUCUAAACAAAGCGUCAUGGCGGGAUCUACGUGUGAAGCAGAGUACAUAGAUGCUUUGGAAGCAGCAAAUGAAGGAGUCUGGAUGAAGGAUUUCAUAUCCGAUCUAGGUGUCAUACCUAGUGCAACGGGUCCAAUGAAAAUCUUUUGUGACAAUACUGGUGCAAUUGCCUUGGCAAAGGAAUCCAGAUUUCACAAAAGAACCAAGCACAUCAAGAGACGCUUCAAUUCCAUCCGCGAUCAAGUCAAGGAGGGAGACAUAGAGAUUUGCAAGAUACAUACAGAUCUGAAUGUUGCAGACCCGUUGACUAAGCCUCUCUCACGAGCAAAACAUGAUCAACACCAAGACUCCAUGGUGUUAGAAUCAUUACUGUGUAAUCUAGAUUAUUGACUCUAGUGCAAGUGGGAUAGUGAAGGAAAUAUGCUCUAGAGGCAAUAAUAAAGUUGUUAUUUAUAUUUCCUUAUAUCAUGAUAAAUGUUUAUUAUUCAUGCUAGAAUUGUAUUAACUGAAAACUUAGUACAUGUGUGAAUACAUAGACAAACAAAGUGUCACUAGUUUGCCUCUACUUGACUAGCUCGUUGAAUCAAUGAUGGUUAUGUUUCCUAACCAUAGACAUGAGUUGUCAUUUGAUUAAUGGGAUCACAUCAUUAGAGAAUGAUGUGAUUGACUUGACCCAUCCGUUAGCUUAGCACGAUGAUUGUUUAGUUUGAUGCUAUUGCUUUCUUCAUGACUUAUACAUGUUCCUAUGACUAUGAGAUUAUGCAACUCCCGAGUAGCGGAGGAACACUUUGUGUGCUACCAAACGUCACAACGUAACUGGGUGAUUAUAAAGGUGCUCUACAGGUGUCUCCGAAGGUACAUGUUGAGUUGGAAUAGACCAAGAUUAGGAUUUGUCACUCCGAUUGUCGGAGAGGUAUCUCUGGGCCCUCUCGGUAAUGCACAUCACUAUAAGCCUUGCAAGCAUUGUGACUAAUGAGUUAGUUGUGGGAUGAUGCAUUACGGAACGAGUAAAGAGACUUGCCGGUAACGAGAUUGAACUAGGUAUAAGGAUACCAACGAUCGAAUCUCGAGCAAGUAACAUACCGAUGACAAAGGGAACAACGUAUGUUGUUAUGCGGUUUUGACCGAUAAAGAUCUUUGUAGAAUAUGUAGGAACCAAUAUGAGCAUCCAGGUUCUGCUAUUGGUUAUUGACUAGAGACGAGUCUCGGUUAUGUCUACAUAGUUCUCGAACCCGUAGGGUCCGCACGCUUAAAGGUCGGUGACGAUCGGUAUUAUGAGUUUAUGUGUUUUGAUGUACCGAAGGUAGUUCGGAGUCCCGGAUGUGGUCACGGACAUGACGAGGAGUCUCGAAAUGGACGAGACGUAAAUAUUGAUAUAUUGGACGGCUAUAUUCAGACACCGAAUGUGUUCCGGAUGGUUUCGGAGAAAACCUGAGUGCCGGAGGGGUUACCAGAACCCCCCGAGGAAGUAUUGGGCCUUAGUGGGCCUGAGGGGAGAGAGAGGGCAGCAGCCCGGGAGGUGGCGUGCCCCCUCCCAUGUGGAGUCCGAAUUGGACUAGGGGAGGGGGGCGCGGUGUCACGCCCACGAUGCGACUAUAUCUCCCACGUGUCGAAGCAUGACUUAGAGGCAUAACCGCAUUAUAAGCAAUGUCGCAAGUGAGGUAAUCUUCACACAACCCAUGUAAUAAAUAAGAAAGGAGAUACAUAGUUGGCUUAUAAUCGCCACUUCACACAAUACAUGAAUAUAACAUUACAACAUCUAGAAAACCAACAUGGUCCGACUACGGAACCAAAAUAAAAGAAGACUACCCCAAAUGCUACACAGAUCUCCGAUCGUCCCAACUGGGCUCCACUACUGAUAAACUGAAACGAAACAACACAAUGAACGAGAUCUUCAUCGAGCUCCUCCUUGAGCUCGGUUGCGUCACCUGCACGGUAUCAUCGGCACCUGCAAGCUGGUUUUGGAAGUAUCUGUGAGUCACGGGGACUCAACAAUCUCACACCCUCGCGAUCAAGACUAUUUAAGCUUAUAGGUAGGGAAAAGGUAUGUGAGGUGGAGCUGCAGCAAGCGACUAGCAUAUUUGGUGGCUAACAUACGCAAAUGAGAGCGAGAAGAGAAGGCAAAGCACGAUCGAGAAACUAUGAUUAAGAAGUGAUCCUAGAACAACCUACGUCAAGCAUAACUCCAACACCGUGUUCACUUCCCGGACUCCGUCGAGAAGAGACCAUCACGGCUACACACGCGGUUGAUGCAUUUUAAUUAAUUUAAGUGUCAAGUUCUCUACAACCGGACAUUAACAAAUUCCCAUCUGCCCAUAACCGCGGGCACGACUUUCGAAAGUUCAAAUCCCUGCAGGGGUGUCCCAACUUAGCCCAUCACAAGCUCUCACGGUCAACGAAGGAUAUUCCUUCUCCUAAGAUAGCCCGAUCAGACUCAGAAUCCCGGUUACAAGACAUUUCGACAAUGGUAAAACAAGACCAACAAGACCACCCGCCAUGCCGACCAAUCCCGAUAGGAGCUGCACAUAUCUCGUUCUCAGGGCACACCGGAUAAGCUAAGCGUACGGGAGCCAACGUAACCCAAGUUGCCAAGGGACGGCCCCACAUGGUGCUCUGGGUUGGACCAACACUUAGAGAAGCACUGACCCGGGGUUUAAAUAAAGAUGACCCUUGGGCAGGCCUACCCAAGGGAAAGAAAAGGCUAGGUGGCAAAUGGUAAAACCAAGGUUGGGCCUUGCUGGAGGAGUUUUAUUCAAGGUGAACUGUCAAGGGGUUCCCAUUAUGACCCAACCGUGUAAGGAACGCAAAAUCAAGGAACAUAACACCAGUAUGACGGAAACUAGGGCGGCAAGAGUGGAACAAAACCCCAGGCAUAAGGCCGAGCCUUCCACCCUUUACCAAGUAUAUAGAUGCAUUAAUUAAAUAAGAGAUAUUGUGCUAUCCCAACAAAUAUCCAUGUUCCAACAAGGAACAAACUCCAUCUUCACCUGCAACUAGCAACGCUAUAAGAGGGGCUGAGCAAAAGCGGUAACAUAGCCAAACAACAGUUUGCUAGCACAAGGUGGGUUAGAGGCUAAACAUGACAAUAUGGGAGGCAUGAAAUAGCAAGUCGUAGGUAUCGCAGCAUAGGCAUAGCAAAAGAGCGAGCAGCUAGCAAGCAAAGAUAGAAGUGAUUUCGAGGGUAUGGUCAUCUUGCCUGAGAUCCCGCAAGAAGAAGAACGAGUCCAUGAAGAAGACAAACGGGCGAAGUCGAACGGAUCCUCACAAACGUGACGUUAUCGGAACUAAGCCGAAGAAGCAACACCGAAAAGAAGCAAACAACAUAGUAAACAACCACCACAUAAACAUGGCAUGAUGCACAAUCAAGUAUGAUGCAUGUCCGGUUUUAAUAUGCAUGGCAUGGCAAAGUGCACAAGCAAUCCUACCAAUUAAGUGGAGCUCAAUAUGCAACGAGUUGCAUAUUGACGAAACACCACAUGGCUUAUUUAGAUCUCUCUCGGUUAUGUACCCAACAAUAUUCAAUGUUGUUAAGCAUGUCAAGAGGUGAAACAUAAAGGAAUUAUCUAUCUAAACAAUUUAAAUGGGGCUGGAUAUAACAAACAACAAAUCUGGUAAAUCCCCAUAUGUAUUUAGCAAAUUAAUACAAACAACAAUUUUAAACAUUUAAAUGUUAUUAUCAUGAUGCGAAUGACAUGUGCGAGUAUAUACAAGUUUUAUUAAAAGUUGACAAGAGCAUUAAGAAGCAUUUGUCACCGUGGUGGAAAGAAAAGGGGUGCCACGGCAACGAUAACGAAAAUGGUGCCACGGCAACGUUCCGGUUCCGGUAACUCGAUUGAGAUACUGAUGCAAAGGGGAAGUGUGCGGAUGCGUGCAAAAGAUGGUGGGGCGCUCCCGGAUUCCGGGUGUCCCAUGAGUUAGCGGCAAAAGAGGAGGACCGAGCAAGUGACAACUCGGACACGGUGCAGACAACGGGUGCAUCUCAUACAACACAUGCAAACGUUCUCGGACGGUCGUCUCGGGGUUAUACCUUCGAAGCGUGCAAAAGGGACGGCUCGGGUCAAGCGGUGUAGUCGUUCACGAUUGUCGUGGGAAGUGGUGGUACUCGGUGAUGGUAGAGGAAGUAGUUGUUCAUGGUUCGUUGUGGGAAGUAGUCGUUCUCAUGGCGAUGGUAGUCGUUCAUGUUCUUAGUCUCACAAGUUUCCGUAGAUGUUCAGGGGCACGGCGCGAAACUUGACGUCCACGGAGUCUUCGAGAGUCGACGGUAGUGGUACACACGUUGUUGGUGUACUUGUCGGUCCGGUCUUGGCGACGGUAGUUGUACACGGGUUGUAGACGUUCUCGGGUCAUGGGUAGAGGUAAUUGGCGCAUCGUCGUGUGUAGUAGUACUCGGCGUCCUCGGGGCUACGACUAUAGUCGUGGUACUUGGCGUCUCACCAUGUAGUUGUACAUGGAGUCGAACAGAGGGCCUUGACGAUUCAACGGGUAUGAAGUAACAGAAACGCACAGGCCUCCCCUGUACUUGGCGCAAUCUGAGACGAUCUCGACGAUCCAGCGAGGCGACAUGGUACAGGGCAGUCUUUGUCUUGGCAGGGCAGCGGUCCAAGCGAGCAGCAGCAGGGUCGUCGGGCAACACGCGGUACCACGGCGAGGACGCGAGGGAGAGGAGCGACGCAAGGCGGCGGUCUCCUGGUGGUCGCCGACGGCGGCGGGGAACGCGGGAGGCAGCGGAACUGGACGGCGAAGUAGCAGCUGCAGCGAGGCAGUGGUGCGGUGGUGAGCUCAUAGGGCGAGGACGACGACGAGCUCGGUGCGUCGGAGGUAGGGACGAGGCCCUGUCGGCGGGCAGGAGGUGCAGUGACGGAAGGGACAUGGACGAAGGAGACGGGGCGCGAGGUCGUCCUUGCAGAGGAGGUCAAGGCAGACCGACAAGCAGAGGACGGGGUCGCCGGAGAAGGGGCUCGCCGGCGGGCGAGGGAAGGUGGCUCCGGCGAGGUCACCGGUGCAGGCGCAAGGACGAGGCGCGGUGGAACUCGCGCGAGGUAGCCAUGGGGAUCGAGUGCGAGGAGAUCUCGCUCCCCCCUGUGAGCAUGACGACGCUGGAGAACAGGCGCGGGGAGCUGCGGGCCUGUGUGCGAGCAAGGAGAGGGAGAGGAAUGGGGAUCGGGCCAGAGACUCUGGCGGCGCGAGAGGGAGAUCGAGGAGAGCGAGGGAGAGGACGAGGUGAGGUUUUGGUCGGGCCUAGGGUUAGAGAAGCUGGUGGGGCGGCUGGGCCUAAAGGGUCGGCGUAGCUAGGAGGCCCAAGAGGCCGGCGGGGAUGGACUGGGCCUAGAGAGGCCUGCUGGACUAUGCUCUCUCUCUCUCUCUCCCUCUUAUUCUUUUCCUUUACCAGAAAAGCAUAGAGAGAAGAAAAGAAGGGGGGGUUAGGGAAAGAAUUAGCGCGAGAGGGAAAUAUUUCUAGACUCACAAAAAUGUGAGGAAUUUAAAUAAAAUGACAAGAGGACUUUUGGAGAAAAAAGAUUCACACAUGUUGAAUUUAAUUCAACAUGUUUGAAUUUUGAAACCCAUUUGAAAGGACUCUAAAUGGGCUGAGAUUUGAGGAGAUGAUCCCACACAUUAGAUGUGAUUUAUGGGCAAAUUUGGGACCUUUAUGGAUGAAGUAAACAACUCAAUUCUACUAAAAGGCCCCAAAGGAAGAAAUGAAGUUGGGUUGGAUAACCGAAAUUUCAAGAACGGUGCAAAUGUGUUAUGGGUGAUUCCAAGACAAUGGAAUGGUUUUAUAUAGCUCCCUGAAUAUUGGGAGGAUAUGUUAUAAAGAGAAAGACCAUGCGAAUUCCCUCGAUUUAAAUAGAUCGAAAGAUCUAUGCAAUUUAUUUAGUUGAGAUGCAAAAGACUUAUGACAUGAUGACAUGAUGGAUUGCACAUGAUGCAACGAACCAAAACGAAUCACCCGACAACACUUGGAAACAUGGAAGGCAUCUGAAGCUCCAGUCUUGGGGCGUCACAACACUCCACCACUACGAGAGGAUCUCGUCCCGAGAUCUAGGUUGGCACCGGAGGGAAUCAGAAAAGGAAGAGAAAAGGUAAAACUAAGUUGCUUCUUUGACAAACGAGUGAAACCAAAGAACCUUGCGAAGUUGAACAAAUUGAAAGAAAGAAUGCAACGAAGAAGAACAAAGUUGCAAACACUCUGUUAGAAAAGAGGAACAAGGGACAUUACUAGAACCUUGUAGGUUGAAAGACAUAAGAAAAGGGGUGCAAUGGACAAGAAGUAGAUGCAAGCACCUUGGUUGACACGAGAUGUACAAGGAAUGAUAAAUAUCAAUUACGGCAAUACUCCGGUUGGAAAUGGAAGGUAAAGAAUAUGAGCUUUGCAAUAUGAAAACACUUGGAUGAGACUCCGGUUAGGAAACGAAUGAUAGCCACAAAACUCUGGUUAAAAAAAGAUAGCGAAGGAAUAAGAAUGAUAUAAUUUGGGCAACACUCCGACUGAAAGGAGAAGGAAAACUUGAUAAGAUGAAAAGCACUUGAAGAGAUGACACAACACUCCGGUUAAAUGGAUAAGCAAAGGAAAGAAGAAGAUCUUUGACAAAAUGAGAUGAUGGGUUGAAUAGAACAACAUCACACAGCCUCUGGAACAAAAGUAAGAAUGGAAUGAAAAGAACGGAGAUGAGAGAAAAACAAUAUCUUCUAUCUCGAAUGAGCCUGAAAGCAUAUUUAGGAGAAGGGUCGAACGGAGUUGUUGGAAAACCAAAAACGAAUUAUAUGGGCUUAUGGAAAACAUCUCAAAACUAUGAGGUGAAAUUCUGCCACUAACGAACACAAUAGAUUAAUUGGAUUGAUAUCAACAAGGAGGCGAGAAAACUUCUUUCACCGGGAGGAUAAAUGAAGGACUUGGGUCAUUUAUAAGCACCAUAAUUAGCAACAAUCCUUAGGGAAGGCUUUAGGUGAAAUAUACCCCAAUAUAACUCCAAUGAAGAGAUUGAUGGAUUUAAAAUACCUCAUUCUUGAUAACUUGUGAAACAUGAACUCAAAUUAUCAAGAAUGACAUAAUACCACCUCCAAUGAUACGGAAGAAAGAAUUGCACUCCGGAUUGCAAGAUGAAGAAAACUUGAGCUCCUUAGAGAAGAAUCUCGAUGAAAACUUCGAAAAGGAAUUAAAUCCUUUAUGAACCAUCAUGUAGAGCCUCCAUGAAGAACUCCGGUAACAAAAGGAUGAUCAAACGAAAAGAAGGAUGAAAAGAAUAAGAUUGUAGCCUUGCAAUGGUUGAAUGAAGCUUUGCAACGAGAUAAAGUGGAAACUUGGAACUCCAGAAAAGAAAGAUGAACAAAUGAAAUGAAGGAUGUAAAGAAUAAGGUUGAAGCCUUGCAAUGAUUAGAUGUAUCUCCGUGGUGAUAUAAUUACGAGAGCUUGGAACUCUGAGAAAGAAAAGAUGAACAAAAGAAAAUCAAGAAUUUGAUGAGCCUCCAGAAUAAAGAAUUAAUCACUUGGAAGAAACAAGAAUAAGAAUUACAUUAUGCGUAUCCCUCACCAAUUAAAUUGAUGACAAGUAAUGGAUUUGGCAUACCACUUAUUCUCGUAGAAAGGAUUAAGAAGAUAUAUGGCACAAACUUGAGAAAGUCUUCAGCGAACCACCGGUAGGAUUUGGGAACAACGAAUGAAUCUGUAUGAUAACGAAGGAGAAGAACUCUUGAACGGAUCAUCGUAAUUAGAGAAAAACGAACGAAGUAAAGGAAUGAAUCACCAGUCAGAAUUUGAAAAUGAACAAAGAUACUUGGGGAAAUUUAGAUACAAGAGAAUGAAGAGAUCACGAGAUGAAUAGAUAAUACUUGAAUGAAGCACCGAUAAGAUUUGGAGAAUGAUAGCUGAAAGCUGAGAAUGAAUAAGUGUUCUGAAAUGAUGGGCUCCGGAGAAUCAAACUGAAAAGAACCAUGCAUUGCUCCGGAUGGGUGAACAGAAUUCUCACAAUCAAUAACAAUUAUGAGAGGAAGGCAUCAAGCUAGAACCAUGAAUUUUGAAGAGAAUGGAGCAAGAUUAAAGAGAAACUCUUCUUCGAUCUUCAAAAUCCGAGAAUGACGACGAGAAACACCACCAUGAAUUGUUGAGAUACUCCGGGAGAAUAAAAAGCGAAGAGGUUGAGCCAACGAUGAAAAGAAUUAGACAGAUCUUGGAGAAAUACAUAUGAAUGAUGAUAAUUCAUUUUACGUCAAACUUUGAAAAUUUUGAGAAUAACUCCGGUAAAAUUAGAAGAUUCAGGUAAGAUCCUGGAAAAAGACCUGUGGGUUAGGGCCCACUCAAAAGAAACACCGUCGAACAAUUUAAAAGAGAGAUUGCGCCAGUUGAAUUAAAUGGCUAGAAUGAGGUAACAACCUCGAAAUAGGUUGAACUGAUCUUGAAUUACAAGGCGAGUCUUCUGAGAUAUCUUCAGCACUCCGAAACAAUUGAAUAGCGAGAAAUGGAUGAUUAAGAAUUGCACCGGCAUGAGAAAGCAUUGAAACGAGGAAAGGAUAUGAUCAACAGAGCUUGACUUGAAAACACCGGAGAUGAAAAGAAUGAAGAAUGAUGAACUUGAAGCUCCAUUAGAAUCUUCAUGAGAAUUGCCGGAUAAGAACAUUGACGGAAAAAUAGUGGAGAGACUUCUCAUCAAUAAGAUGAUACUUGAUUAAGAAAUCUGAGUCCUUGAAGACACAAGGGUGGGAGGGUGGGAAAACAAAGGCAGCUUGGGACAGAUAAAAUGAGCACCGUUGAGAAGAACUGAUAAUUGAUCUUGCGGAUGUUGAAAUGAUCGGAUCCACUUGAAGAGAAAACACGCCGGUUGAAAAAGGAUUGACAUGACAAUCUCGAUUAUCAUGAAGGAUUAGUAUUCACAUAGAAAUAUGAGAACACGACUUAGGAAAGGUAUGGAAUCCACAUUUGACUUCGAAGCAACUCGAAUACCACAACUCAAAACAAAACAAAGGAUUGGCUUGCAGAAUAAGCCAGAACAAACAUAUGAUAGAGAUUUCGUUUGAAGUUUUUGUGGUGGGGCCUACACGGGCUCGAUCGUACAGCACCAUCAUGUACAAAGCAGUGCACAUGGCAUACGAAGCGUCCCCGAGUCAGCAUAGCCAAGGACUCUUUAAGACACAACGAGACUACUGUAAAACCAACCGUGGAUAGGCGGACCACUAGACGUCGAACCCCAAUUUCAUAUCAUACAUUUGUCGGGAAGAUAUCCUAAGAGCAACUUGAAUUCCCACUUAUAAACUCCCGAAACUUUCCGGUUAUGCAAUCAGGUGUUGGGGAUACAGGGGAAGCAUAAUAUCUCACCCAAAACUAGCAAAUCCUACAUCCAGCUAUAUCCAUCCUUCAACACAUAACCAAGAAACCUUUGGAAAUCGUUUACCUCAACCUCCGAAAAGCAUCCGUUAUAUGAGUUAUGGCAAUACUCCCGAACUCCCGCCCCAGUACUGGGUGGCGUCGAGGUUAUCUCACCAACAACUGCAUAAAAGAGGUUUUCGAUGUCUGCGAAACUCAGGUAUUCCAGAAUUGCAACGAUAAAAUUGUGACGACAACACCUCGGAGCUCAACUCCCCAGGACACUGCCACAACCCCUAAAUGUCAGGAGGCACCAAGAACAAUGUUCUUGUCACCAAACCAUCAAAAUGAUUCCAAGAUACCCGCGUGAUCCUAAUUUUUUUUAGUGAAAUUUGAGAAGAGAAGAGUCAAAACUCUACGUCAGGAUGACUCAACAGAGCGACGAAGGGACUAAGGAGUAAAAAGAAUCCUACUCUCCGAUAUAUAUAAUCCUAUAAGACUCAAAACAUUUUUCUAGACUCAACAACGCUAGCGAUUCGAUCAAGCAGGGGGCUCCUAAAGUCGGGGAAGGCUCUGAUUACCAACUUGUCACGCUCACGAUGCGGCUAUAUCUCCCACGUGUCGAAGAACGACUUAGAGGCAUAACCGCAUUGUAAGCAAUGUCGCAAGUGAGGUAAUCUUCACACAACCCAUGUAAUGAAUAAGAAAGGAGAUACAUAGUUGGCUUACAAUCGCCACUUCACACAAUACAUGAAUAUAACAUUACAACAUCCAGAAAACAAACAAGGUCCGACUACGGAACCAAAAUAAAAGAAGACUACCCCAAAUGCUACACAGAUCCCCGAUCGUCCCAACUGGGCUCCACUACUGAUCAACUGAAAUGAAACAACACAAUGAAUGAGAUCUUCAUCGAGCUCCUCCUUGAGCUCGGUUGCGUCACCUGCACGGUAUCAUCGGCACCUGCAAGCUAGUUUUGGAAGUAUCUGUGAGUCACGGGGACUCAGCAAUCUCACACCCUCGCGAUCAAGACUAUUUAAGCUUACAGGUAGGGAAAAUGUAUGUUAGGUGGAGCUGCAGCAAGCGACUAGCAUAUUUGGUGGCUAACAUACGAAAAUGAGAGCGAGAAGAGAAGGCAAAGCACGGUCGAGAAACUAUGAUCAAGAAGUGAUCCUAGAACAACCUACGUCAAGCAUAACUCCAACACCGUGUUCACUUCCCGGACUCCGCCGAGAAGAGACCAUCACGGCUACACAUGCGGUUGAUGCAUUUUAAUUAAUUUAAGUGUCAAGUUCUCUACAACCGGACACUAACAAAUUCCCAUCUGCCCAUAACUGCGGGCACGGCUUUCGAAAAUUCAAAUCCCUGCAGGGGUGUCCCAACUUAGCCCAUCACAAGCUCUCACGGUCAACGAAGGAUAUUCCUUCUCCCAAGACAACCCGAUCAUACUCGAAAUCCCAGUUACAAGACAUUUCGACAAUGGUAAAACAAGACCAGCAAGACCACCCGCUGUGCCGACAAAUCCCGAUAGGAGCUGCACAUAUCUCGUUCUCAAGGCACACCAGAUAAGCUAAGCGUACGGGAGCCAACGUAACCCAAGUUGCCAAGGGACGGCCCCGCACGGUGCUCUGGGUUGGACCAACACUUAGAGAAGCACUGGCCCGGGGGUUUAAAUAAAGAUGACCCUUGGGCAGGCCAACCCAAGAGAAAGAAAAGGCCAGGUGGCAAAUGGUAAAACCAAGGUUGGGCCUUGCUGGAGGAGUUUUAUUCAAGGCGACCUGUCAAGGGGUUUCCAUUGACCGAACCGUGUAAGGAACGCAAAGUCAAGGAACAUAACAUCGGUAUGACGGAAACUAAGGCGGCAAGAGUGGAAUAAAACACCAGGCAUAAGGCCGAGCCUUCCACCCUUUACCAAGUAUAUAGAUGCAUUAAUUAAAUAAGAGAUAUUGUGCUAUCCCAACAAAUAUCCAUGUUCCAACAAGGAACAAACUCCAUCUUCACCUACAACUAGAAACGCUAUAAGAGGGGCUGAGCAAAAGCGGUAACAUAGCCAAACAACAGUUUGCUAGGACAAGGUGGGUUAGAGGCUGAACAUGGUAAUAUGGGAGGCAUGAAAUAGCAAGUGGUAGGUAUCGCAGCAUAGGCAUAGCAAAAGAGCGAGCAUCUAGCAAGCUAAGAUAGAAGUGAUUUCGAGGGUAUGGUCAUCUUGCCUGAGAUCCCGCAAGGAAGAAGAACGAGUCCAUGAAGAAGACAAACAGGCAAAGUCGAACGGAUCCUCACAAACGCGACGUUAUCAGAACUAAGCCGAAGAAGCAACACCGGAAAGAAGCAAACAACAUAGUAAACAACCACCACAUAAACAUGGCAUGAUGCACAAUCAAGUAUGAUGCAUGUCCGGUUUUAAUAUGCAUGGCAUGGCAAAGUGCACAAACAAUCCUACCAAUUAAGUGGAGCUCAAUAUGCAACGAGUUGCAUAUUGACGAAACACCACAUGGCUUAUUUAGACCUCUCUCGGUUAUGUACCCAACAAUAUUAAAUGUUGUUAAGCAUGUCAAGAGGUGAAACAUAAAGGAAUUAUCUAUCUAAACAAUUUAAAUGGGGCUGGAUAUAGCAAACAACAAAUCCGGUAAAUCCCCAUAUGCAUUUAACAAAUUAAUACAAAUAACAAUUUUAAACAUUUAAAUGUUACUAUCAUGAUGCGAAUGACAUGUGCGAGUAUAUGCAAGUUUUAUUAAAAGUUGACAAGAUCAUUAAGAAGCAUUUGUCACCAUGGUGGAAAGAAAAGGGGUGCCACGGCAACGAUAACGAAAAUGGUGCCACGGCAACGUUCCGGUUCCGGUAACUCGAUUGAGAUACGGAUGCAAAGGGGAAGUGUGCGGAUCCGUGCAAAAGAUGGUGGGGCGCUCCCGGAUUCCAAGUGUCCCACGAGUUAGCGGCAAAAGAGGAGGACCGAGCAAGUGACAACUCGGACACGGUGCAAACAACGGGUGCAUCUCAUACAACACAUGCAAAUGUUCUCGGACGGUCGUCUCGGGGUUAUACCUUCAAAGCGUGCAAAAGGGACAGCUCGGGUCAAGCGGUGUAGUCGUUCACGAUCGUCGUGGGAAGUAGUGGUACUCGGCGAUGGUAGAGGAAGUAGUUGUUCACGGUUCGUUGUGGGAAAUAGUCGUUCUCGUGGCGACGGUAGUCGUUCACGUUCUUAGUCUCACAAGUUUCUGUAGAUGUUCAGUGGCACGGCGCGAAACUUGACGUCCAUGGAGUCUUCGAGAGUCGACAGUAGUGGUACACACGUUGUUGGGGUACUUGUCGGUCCGGUCUUGGCGACAGUAGUUGUACACGGGUCGUAGACGUUCUCGGGUCAUGGGUAGAGGUACUUGGCGCAUCGUCGUGUGUAGUAGUACUCGGUGUCCUCGGGGCAAUGACUAUAGUCGUGGUACUUGGCGUCUCACCGUGUAGUUGUACAUGGAGUCGAACAGAGGGCCUUGACGAUUCAACGAGUAUGAAGCAACAGAAACACACAAGCCUCCCCUGUAAGCGCAAUCCGAGACGAUCUCGACGAUCCAGCGAGGCGACGUGGUACAUGGCAGUCUUUGUCUUGACAGGGCAGCGGUCCAAGCGAGCAGCAGCAGGGUCGUCGGGCAACACGCGGUACCACAGCGAGGACGCGAGCGAGAGGAGCGACGCAAGGCGGCGGUCUCCUGGUGGUCGCUGACGGCGGCGGGGAAUGCGGGAGGCAACGGAACUGGACGGCGAAGUAGCAGCUGCAGCGAGGCAGCGCUGCGGUGGUGAGCUCGUAGGGCGAGCACGACGACGAGAUCGACGCGCGGGAGGUAGGGACGAGGCCCUGCCGGCGGGCAGGAGGUGCAGUGACGGAAGGGACACGGACGAAGGAGACGGGGUGCGAGGUCGUCCUUGCAGAGGAGGUCGAGGCAGGCCGACGAGCAGAGGACGGGGUCGCGGGAGAAGGGGCUCGCCGGCGGGCGAUGCAAGGUGGCUCCGGCGAGGUCACCAGUGCAGGCGCAAGGACGAGGCGCGGUGGAACUCGCGCGAGGUAGCCAUGGGGAUCGAGUGCGAGGAGCUCUCGCUCCCCCCUGUGAGCAUGACGACGCUGGAGAAUGAGCGCGGGGAGCUGCGGGCCUGUGUGCGAGCAAGGAGAGGGAGAGGGAUGGGGAUCGGGCCAGAGACUCUGGCGGCGCGAGAGGGAGAUCGAGGAGAGCGAGGGAGAGGACGAGGUGAGGUUUUGGUCGGGCCUAGGGUUAGAGAAGCUGGUGGGGCGGCUGGGCCUAAAGGGCUGGCGUAGCUAGGAGGCCCAAGAGGCCGGCGGGGAUGGACUGGGCCUAGAGAGGCCUGCUGGACUAUGCUCUCUCUCUCCCUCUUAUUCUUUUCCUUUACCAAAAAAGCANNNNNNNNNNNNNNNNNNNNNNNNNNNNNNNNNNNNNNNNNNNNNNNNNNNNNNNNNNNNNNNNNNNNNNNNNNNNNNNNNNNNNNNNNNNNNNNNNNNNNNNNNNNNNNNNNNNNNNNNNNNNNNNNNNNNNNNNNNNNNNNNNNNNNNNNNNNNNNNNNNNNNNNNNNNNNNNNNNNNNNNNNNNNNNNNNNNNNNNNNNNNNNNNNNNNNNNNNNNNNNNNNNNNNNNNNNNNNNNNNNNNNNNNNNNNNNNNNNNNNNNNNNNNNNNNNNNNNNNNNNNNNNNNNNNNNNNNNNNNNNNNNNNNNNNNNNNNNNNNNNNNNNNNNNNNNNNNNNNNNNNNNNNNNNNNNNNNNNNNNNNNNNNNNNNNNNNNNNNNNNNNNNNNNNNNNNNNNNNNNNNNNNNNNNNNNNNNNNNNNNNNNNNNNNNNNNNNNNNNNNNNNNNNNNNNNNAGGGAAAGAAUUAGCGCGCGAGGGAAAUAUUUCUGGACUCACAAAAAUGUGAGGAAUUUAAAUAAAAUGACAAGAGGACUUUUGGAGAAAAAAGAUUCGGACAUGUUGAAUUUAAUUCAACAUGUUUGAAUUUUGAAACCCAUUCGAAAGGACUCUAAAUGGGCUGAGAUUCGACGAGAUGAUCCCACACAUUAGAUGUGAUUUAUGGGCAAAUUUGGGACAUUUAUGGAUGAAGUAAAAUUGCAACUCAAUUCUACCAAAAGGCCCCAAAGGAAGAAAUGAAGUUGGGUUGGAUAACAGAAAUUUCAAGAACGGUGCAAAUGUGUUAUGGGUGAUUCCAAGACAAUGGAAUGGUUUUAUAUAGCUCCCUAAAUAUUGGGAGGAUAUGUUAUAAAGAGAAACACCAUGUGAAUUCCCUCGAUUUAAAUAGAUCGAAAGAUAUAUGCAAUUUAUUUAGUUGAGAUGCAAAAGACUUAUGACAUGAUGACAUAAUGACAUGAUGCAAUGAACCAAAACGAAUCACCCGACAACACUCGGAAACAUGGAAGGCAUCUGAAGCUCCGGUCUUGGGGCGUCACAAGCGGCCCCUCUUUCUCUCUCCCUCUCCCUCUCUUUCCUUCCCCUUCCCUCUUCCUAGUAGGACUAGGAAAGGAUGAAUCGUACUCCUACUAGGAGGAGGAUUCCUCCUCUCCUUGGGGCACACCAAGGCUGGCCGGCCUCCCCCCUUGCUCCUUUAUAUACGGGGGCGGGGGGCACCCAAAGACACACAAGUUGAUUGUUCCAAGCCGUGUGCGGUGCCCCACUCCACCAUAAUCCACCUCGAUCAUAUCGUAGCAGUGCUUAGGCGAAGCCCUGCGUCAGUAGCAACAUCAUCACCAUCAUCACGCCAUCGUGUUGACGGAACUCUCCUGCAAAGCUCUGCUAGAUCAGAGUUCGUGGGAUGUUAUCGAGCUGAACGUUUGCUGAACUCGGAGGUGCCGUACGUCCGGUACUUGGAUCGGUCGGAUCGUGAAGACGUAUGACUACAUCAACCGCAUUCUCAUAACGCUUCCGCUUACGGUCUACGAGGGUACGUGGAUGAUACUCUCCCCUCUCGUUGCUAUGCAUCACCAUGAUCUUGCGUGUGCGUAGGAAAAUUUUGAAAUUACUACGUUUCCCAACAUGCGGAGUAUGAUGGAUGUAUUAUUGAGCCUCGAGGGCGAGUAUAUAUUGAGUACAAGGCUUGGAGGGCAAGACAUCUCUUCUAGAGAUAAGGUAGGAGACGGAUUACAAAUUCUAGACUACCAAAGAUAUGUAACCCAAAUAUAUCUCUAAUAGUGGCGCUUGGACCAUUGCCACCUGGACUCGAUGGACCCACCCAGUAACCGACACAUCAUACAUAUGCAGCAAAGCCCUUGGGAACACGUUUCAUCUCAUUCUCACACUCUGGCUCUCUUCCACGCACAAAGCUUUGGGGAGGCAGCGACAUGGAGGCGACCAACAAUGUGUGUGCUUGAUGCCAGGCGAUGAGAGGUGUAGAACCUGAUCUGCUCCGUGCUCAUACGAUGGCUCUGGUCCGAUGGCGCCAUCGCGGCGGCUGCCCAACGACCCUCCUCCUGAGUACGGUAAGAAUCCUAGCCCUAAUCCCUCCUACCCCAACUUUAGCUUAAAAUUUUCAAUUGAAUAGUGUGAUUUGGGGAUUAAGGCAUUCAUAUUACAUGGUUCAGUCCAAAUUUGUUUAUUAAUUUGGUCAUUGAGAUAUAUCCCCCAUGUCCAAAUCUGCAUGUGUUAUAUAUUGUGCUGAUUCAGCCAUAAUGUGUGGAUUAAUUUGGUGAUUGCACAACUUAAUGAUAAAGAUGUUCUGUUUUCCCUUAAUAGGACCCGAUUAACCAUGGGAGUUUCUUCGUCGGCUUUGGAGAAAUCAAGAAAUACAUGGAUUGCAAGAUAGAUUAUUUUGAUCAUUGCGAGAUUGAAAGUUGGUCGCCACUUUGGAUUACAGAUUUUGUGCAGCAACUUGGUUAUGAUCCAAGUAAAGUGUAGUGUUUCUGGUUACUUCUUGUCAUGAAUUUGGAUAAUGGGAUGAGAAUUAUUGAUAGAGAUACAGACUGCCUUGACUGCUGUUGUGCCAAAGUUUAAACAUUUCGAGCUGUACAUGGAUCAUCGUGACAUUUACAAUGAGAUUGCUUUGGAUGACAUAUGCAUAGUUGGAUCACCUCCAAUGCUUGCUGUCAUGAGUCCUGGGAAGCCACAAGACAGAGGUGCACAGAGCUAUGUUAGAUGCAGUCCUAGGAUGGAGCAAGACACAAAAAAGGAAACUGAAUAUGUUAGCUGGUGAAGUGAUCAUUGGAGAGACGGUAAAAGGGAGAAAUAAGGAACAAGUGGAGGAAAACAAUGUCAGUGAUAGUGACAGUGAUUGUACUUAUGCAGAUUGUGCUGUCUCAGACAAUGACUUUGACAAUGAUGAUGAUAAUCUAUUUGACGAGUGGGUGGAUGACUUCAGUAAGGAAGUUAGAGAAAAGAAGAAAGCAACUCAAUAUGAAAGGGAUAGUGACUAUGACACUGACGAGUUAGAGCUGCCAGCUUCAGAGAAUGGGGGAAAUGAAUCAGAACAUGAAAUUGUUAUAGAGAAAGGGAAGAAAAAGCAAAAGAAGAAAGUGAAGCUCAGGUCCUUCAAGCCAGAGGAACCGAAAGCUCCAGCUACAAAUUGGGUAUGAAAUUCCCUACGGGAGCUGAUCUUAGAAGGGCAAUUCAAGAGUACACUGUGCAAAACAUGGUACAAAUAAAGUAUGCAAAGAAUGAUAGACAAAGAAUUAGGGCACACUUCUCUGAUGACUAUCCAUGGUAUCUAUUUGCAGCACCUGACAGCAGAACCACAAGUUUUGUGGUGAAAACCUAUGUGGGAGAUCACACCUGCAGUAAAGAGUGGGAGGUUAAUGCAUUCACAUCAAGAUACUUAGCAGACAUGUAUUUGGAGAACUUUAGGGCAGAUGAAAAGAUGACAUUGAUGAAUUUUGCAAGGUUGGUGCAAAAGGACUACAACAUGGAAUCUUCAAGGAGAAAGCAAGCAAGAGCUAGAAGAAUAGCAAUAAAGAAAAUUCAUGGAGAUGAGGUGAAACAAUACUCACUUAUGUGGGACUUCGCAUAAGAGAUCAGAAGCUCCAACCAUGGCAGUAGCAUGUUUAUGAAACUCAAAGAGGACAAAUUCUACCAGUGUUACAUGUCAUUAGAUGCUUGUAAAAGAGGCUUUUUAGCUGGAUGUAGACCUGUCAUUUGUGUUGAUGGUUGCCAUCUGAAAACAAAAUAUGGUGGACAAUUGUUGACUGCUGUAGGUAUUGAUCCAAACAACUAUAUUUUCCCUAUUGCUAUGGCUGUAGUUGAAGUCGAGGGCACACCAACAUGGAAGUGGUUGAUAACCCACAAGUAUAGGGGAUUGCAAUAGUUUUCGAGGGUAGAGUAUUCAACCCAAAUUUAUUGAUUUGACACAAGGGGAGCCAAAGAAUAUUCUCAAGUAUUAGCAGCUGAGUUGUCAAUUCAACCACACCUGGAAACUUAAUAUCUGCGGCAAAGUGUUUAGUAGCAAAGUAAUAUGAUAGUAGUGGUAACGGUAGCAAAAGGUAACGAUAGCAAAGGUAAUAUUUUUGGUGUUUUGUAGUGAUGAUAACAAUAGCAAUGGAAAAGUAAAUAAGCGAAGAACAAUAUACAGAAAGCUCGUAGGCAUUGGAUCGGUGAUGGAGAAUUAUGCCGAAUGUGGUUCAUCAUGUAACAGUCAUAACCUAGGGUGACACAGAACUAGCUCCAACUCAUCAAUGUAAUGUAGGCAUGUAUUCCGAAUAUAGUCAUACAUGCUUAUGGAAAAGAACUUGCAUGACAUCUUUUGUCCUACCCUCCCGUGGCAGCGGGGUCCUAGCGGAAACUAAGGGAUAUUAAGGCCUCCUUUUAAUAGAGUACCGGACCAAAGCAUUAACACAUAGUGAAUACAUGAACUCCUCAAACUACGGUCAUCACCGAAAGUGGUCCCAAUUAUUGUCACUUCGGGGUUGCCGGAUCAUAACACAUAGUAGGUGACUAUAGACUUGUAAGAUAGGAUCAAGAACUCACAUAUAUUUAUGAAAACGUAAUAGGUUGAGAUCUGAAAUCAUGGCACUUGGGCCCUAGUGACAAGCAUUAAGCAUAGGAAAGUCACAGCAACAUCAAUCUCAGAACAUAGUGGAUACUAGGGAUCAAACCCUAACAAAACUAACUCGAUUAUAUGAUAAAUCUCAUCCAACCCAUCAUCGUCCAGCAAGCCUACAAUGGAAUUACUCACACACAGCGGUGAGCAUCAUGAAAUUGGUGAUGGAGGAUGGUUGAUGAUGACGAUGGCGACGAAUUCCCCUCUCCGGAGCCCCGAACGGACUCCAGACCAGCCCCCCUGAGAGAGUUUAGGGCUUGGCGGCGGCUCCGUAUCAUAAAACGCGAUGAAUCCUUCUCUCUUAUUUUUUCUCCCCGAAUACAAAUAUAUGGAGUUGGAGUUGAGGUCGGUGGAGCUCCAGGGAACCCACGAGGCAGGGGGGCGUGCCCAGGGGGCAGGCGCGCCCCCACCCUCGUGGCUAGGGUGUGGGUCCCCUGGCCAUGAUUCUUUGCCAGUAUUUUUUAUUAUUUCCAAAAAUAAUCUCCGUGGAGUUUCAGGUCAUUCCGACAACUUUUGUUUCUGCACAUAAAUAACACCAUGGCGAUUCUGCUGAAAACAACAUUAGUCCGGGUUAGUUCCACUCAAAUCAUGCAGGUUAGAGUCCAAAACAAGGGCAAAAAUGUUUGGAAAAGUAGAUACGACGGAGACGUAUCAACUCCCCCAAGCUUAAACCUUUGCUUGUCCUCAAGCAAUUCAGUUGAGAAACUAAAAGUGAUAAAGAAAAACUUUUACAAACUCUAUUUGCUCUUGUUGUUGUAAAUAUGUAAAGCCAGCAUUCAAGUUUUCAGUAAGGAUUAUGAACUAACCAUAUUCACAAUAACUGUUAGGUCUCAUGUUUACUCAUAUCAAUGGCAUAAUCAACUAGCGAGCAAUAAUAAUAAAUCUCAGAUGACAACACUUUCUCAAAACAAUAAUAAUAUGGUAUAACAAGAUGGUAUCUCGCUAGACCUUUCUGAGACCGCAAAACAUAAAUGCGGAGCACCUUUAAAGAUCAAGGACUGACUAGACAUUGUAAUUCAUGGUAAAAAAGAUCCAGUCAAGUCAUACUCAAUGUAAACUAACAAUAAUGAAUGCAAAUGACAGCGGUGCUCUCCAACUGGUGUUUUUUUAAUAAGAGGAUGAUGACUCAACAUAAAAGUAAAUAGAUAGGCCCUUCGCAGAGGGAAGCAUGGAUUUGUAGAGGUGCCAGAGCUCGGUUUUGAAAUAGAGGUGAAUAAUAUUUUGAGCGGUAUACUUUCAUCGUCAACAUAACAACCAAGAGAUGUCGAUAUCUUCCAAGCUACACACAUUAUAGGCGGUUCCCAAACAGAAUGGUAAAGUUUAUACUCCCCUCCACCAACAAGCAUCAAUCCAUGGCUUGUUCGAAAUAACGAAUGCCUCCAACUAACAAGAGUCCCAUGGGGAGUUUUGUUUGUAAUUAUUUUGAUUUAGUUUGCAUAAAGCAUGGGACUGGGCAUCCCGGUGACCAGCCAUUUUCUCAUGAGUGAGGAGUGGAGUCCACUCCUCUUGAGAAUAAUCCGCCUAACAUGGAAGAUAUGGACAACCCUAGUUGAUACAUGAGCUAUUCGAGCAUACAAAACAGGAUAUUUAUUUGAAGGUUUAGAGUUUGGCACAUACAAAUUUACUUGGAACGGCAGGUAGAUACCGUAUAUAGGUAGGUAUGGUGGACUCAUAUGGAACAACUUUGGGGUUUAUGGGAUUGGAUGCACAAGCAGUAUUCCCGCUUAGUACAGGUGAAGGCUAGAAAAAGACUGGGAAGCGACCAGCUAAAGAGCAACAAUAGUCAUGAACAUGCAUUAAAAUUAAUCAACACCGAAUGCAAGCAUGAGUAGGAUGUAAUGCACCAUGAGCAUAAAUAUCGUAGAGGCUAUGUUGAUUUUAUUUCAACUACAUGCGUGAACAUGUGCCAAGUCAAGCCACUCGAAUCAUUCAAAAGAGGAUACCACCCUAUCAUACAACAUCACAACCAUUUUAAUAGCAUGUUGGCACGCAAGGUAAACCAUUAUAAGCUCCUAGAUAAUUAAGCAUGGCAUAAGCAACUAUAAUCUCUAAUUGUCAUUGCAAACAUGUUGAUGUAGGGUAGAAUCCUAACGGCCCGAUCUUUCACGAAAGGAGCGGAUCCUGCGAAUAGCAUGAAGAACACGGGGGAGAAAGGAGAUAAAACACAAGGGGAAACACUCAAGAACAAGUCCAAUCACACAUCCACUAGACAAUCAAACACACAGGAUCCACAAGGUACAUGAACAACAAAGGGAAAGAUACAAGGUAGAGUUCAUCUCUGUGAGGAGGUCUUGAGGGGGGCCACCCAAGAGGGGGUCUUGAAUCCGCUUGGGAGGAUCUUCUCCGAGGAGGCACGAUCUCCGUGGAGAAGGUAACCAAGUGGAUGAGCAAAGCUCUCACACAAACAUGAGCUAAUCCUUUGCUGACCCUAGAAUGGAGGAGGGGGAUGAGUAUAUAUAGUAGCAGCCAUGAAGGGGUAAGUGAGGGGCGAAUGGGUACAUGGGCCUUGGCCCGAGUCUCUGCGCGCAGGCAGGGCCAGAAGUUCCGGGGACGGCCGGAAGGUCCGAGCGCCGGAGGUUCCGGGCGAAGGUCUGAGCAAGGUCCGGGCUAUCCAGAGAGUUGGCUCACUCUUGGACGGCUUCGGUGCAGUAGGGUCGGAAGCUCCAGAAUAGCCAGAGGUUCCGGUGGCCGGAAGUUCCAGGCAGCGGCCAGAAGUUCCGGGAUUUCCAGAAACUUGUCCAUGCUUCUUCUUCCUUCUCUUCCACAUUCCCUCGCGGAUGGUGUAGUUGUUCCUUGGCGCUUGCACUCCUCCUCGACAAUCGUGAAGCUCCGACAAUACCUAUGCAUGCACACAGGAGGAGUGUCAAGUAGUAUACCAUCCUCGAGAGGGUCAAGUGAACACGUGUAAAGGAGAUGAUUCACCUUUGUGUAUGUGAAGUAGAUGUCGCACGUGUCACUUGCCGAAUGAACUCUUGACAUGGUGAUGUCCAUAGGAUGCUCGGUAUCAUCCCCUUCCCCUUGGGAAAGAUCCGACCUCGGAUCGAAAUCUGAAUCACCAUGGGAAAGAGAUGGCGUCGCCGUGUAGAAGUGGUCGAUCACCAAGUUCUUGUCAUCUUGAAGCUUGAAAUGGGCAGUCUCCAAUGUCGCAUGGUCUCGUGAUUCCUUCAAAAGGAUCAAGGAGAACAAACACUUGGAAAACAAAUGCGGUUAGCGUUAGUGCAAAAGAAGCAUUCAAGAGGUGAUUCACCCAACAAGUGUUGUCAUCAAGCAUAGCAUAUGGUGUGACAAAGGAUUGUGACAUGGCAUGUAAGCACAGAAAUUGAGGACAAAGAAGGACAUUAUGGAAACAAGCAUGUAAAUGUGAGGUAGUGAUGCAAAUAUGAGUGACAAGAGAAGAAGCAUCUACCUCAAGUUCAUAGCAAGCAUUCACAAAUUGCUCAAUGAAAGGUCUAUGGUAGGCAUAGGAAGCAUUCACAACACCAAAUAAAAUGAAGUGUCUAAACACAUGGGUCAAGUGCAAGACAAUCCAAGCAUAAUGUGCAUGGGGUGUAGUGAAUAUAGUGUGGCACUCAACACAAUAGAAAGAGCAACUGUUCAUCAUGUGUGAGGCAAUCAAGGCAAGCAUGUAGCAAUCGAUGGGACAUGGCAUAUGUGAAGUGAUGACAUUGUUGCAAGCAAACAUAUGAGAGGAGCAAGUAAUCCAAGAAUUGCAUGCAACACACAAGGCAUAUAUAUCAUGAUGAACAAUAAGUCUCAUGGUGCAAGCAACACAAGUAGUAUGAUCCACAAUAUCCAUGCUCAAGAAAGAUGUCACCUUGAAGGCAUGUGCUUGUGCAUUCUUCACAUUGCUGAAGUUGUAAGAAAGGUGGUGUAGAAGCGAGUCGUGGUCGAAUGUAUGAGGCUCGCUCUCAAGAGCUAGAAUGGUCAACUCAUGUGACAUGGAAGUUGACACAAAGUCCAAGUAUCCUAUACAUGCACACAACAAAACAAAGAACGUAUGCACAUGGUAGAUAAACACAUCAUCCAUCAUGAUGGUUCCCUUCUUUUGCACAUAACCAUUAGAAGCACAAGUGCAUGAAUAAUAUGAUGCAAUAAUGGCUAUAUUCAUGGCACUAGGUAUAUGGUGCAAAGAGGCAAGACAAGCAUGCUUCACAAGGAAUAUGUCAAAAUCUCCAAACAUAUGGGAGAAUGCUAUGGGGGCAAUCUCAUUAGCAAGACGAAAAUCAUGCUUGCGCUCAAUACAUGGCAAAUCAUCUAGCAUGAGAGAGGCAACAUAUGGAGAUAUAUGAUGGCAAGCAAUAAUAAUAAUGUGCAAAGCAUGUAGAUGGUUGUCAUCAACCGCAUGAAGUGAGCAAGUAUGAAUCAUUGGUGAUGCAACAUAAGCAAGCAUAGUAAGCAAGUCAUGCAAGCUAGUAGUGCGAAGAUGCAACAUACUAGAGGAAAUCAUGACAAUCAUGUCAUGUGAGCAAAUAAUAGGCAUAGACAAUGCACAUGACAUAUCGGAAGCACGAACACAAAGCAAUAUCAUAGUAUCAUCAUAGGCAUGGGGCACAAAGCAAACAUGGCAAUAACAAGUGAUGUCUCCACCAAGCUUGCAAAUACACAUACAAGUAUGAGAAUCAAUCAUCAUGUGUAAUGCAAAGCAUGGGUCACAAAUGCAUGGCAAAGGCAUAGGAAUAAGCAUAUCAUGCAAAGUGAACAUGGCAAGAUGGGCAUAGAAUGAUAUAUAAUGGACAAUAACCCAUAGCCAAGUGAGGGCCAUGUAGAAGAAAUGCGUGGAGUAUUUGCAUGAAGAGAGCGCUGGGAAAGACAAUCCAUGGGAUCCCAAGUCAUCAUUGCUCUCUAGAGCUCGUUUUGUCAACUCAUGGGAUUGUGAGGUUGACAAAUAUUCGUGGGUACCUACACAAAAGAGACACAAGCCAAAGAAAUUGUGUGUGUGGUAAAUGUACACAUCAUCCAUCAUGAUGUGUAUGUGCACGUGUGAGUUACCACAAGAUAAGCAUCGGUCAAAGAAAUUUGAUGCAUGGUAUAAGAACAUGUCAUCCAUCAUGAAAGAAUAGUUAUUGUGUAUGACACAAUGGGGAUGCAAAUUAAGCAUACAAGUAUAUGGCACAUCAAUAGCAUGUUUAUUCAUUUGAAGCAUAUGGUGCGCACAAGGAUUGGGAUCAUGCAAUGAAUGGGAUGAAUCAAAAUCUCCUAAAAUGUAUGAGGAAACUAUGGGGGUCUCCUCAUGAGCAAUAAUGGAAACAUCAUAUGGAGAAAAUGGACAACAUCCAAAACAAUGCAUAUCCGAAGCUAGGUGGUCAUGGCAUGGCAUAUGAGAGAAAUGAUGCAAAGGGUGCAUAUCAAUAUCAUCACAAGAAAAACAAAUGCCAAUAACCAUGGGCUUGUCAUCUAUGCCAUAAGUGCAAAUUGGGUUAAUCUGAAUGGCAUAUGCAUAGUCACUAUGAAGAGAUUGCAAAUAUGACAUGUGGUCGAUCUCAUGCAUAGCAUAUGACAAGUCAAGCGGAUUGGCAAACAUGAUGUGACCGAGAGAAUUAGCACAAGAAAUCCUAUGUAACAUGACAUCACAACUAAUAGACUCCACAUGAGAAUCAUCAUACUCAUCGUAAAUGGGCAAGAAAUGAUCACAUGAGGAAGUCACACUAGCAUGAAUCAUGGAAAUAGGUGGAUCAACAUCAUGCAAGCAAUCAAUGUCAAGAAUGUCCACUAGUGGGACUAGAGCAUCACCUUCACCUAUGUUACCUUUGUCAUUCCACUCAUGUGGUGUAGGUGAGGUGGGAAAGACCAAAUGGUGGUCAUCUUCAUCUUGAUGGAACCAUGUGGGGGGUGCAUCAUAUUCCACCAUGGCCAUCGUCUUGUCCAAAGGGAGGACGUAGUCUUCGCGAAUCGGCGCGUCAUCAUAUAUGGGACCUAGCACCAAAUGAGAAGACACAAUAGAGGUAGAGGUUAAGUCUUUAGUGUUGAAAGUGGCCUCACAUGCCCUAUCAACUAUCACUCUCUCUCUAUAUGGUGGUUCACUCACUCCCUCAAGGUAGGUGCACUCAAUCUCACGUAUGGUGGAGUCACUCAUCUCACUCAAGUGGAGGGGGUUGUGGCUCUCAUCACAUGAGAAAUUGUGGUAACGCAUCAUAUAUGGGGCUAGUGGUGAAGUCACUCUCACUCUCAAUAUGGUGGCUAAAGUCACUCAAGUCAUCACAUGUCGCCGUGGUCGAAGGGAAAAUCCCAUGCUCAACCGUCUCGUUGUCAUCGCCGUGGAUGAAGGCCGAAAUGGCACAUCAUCACUCUCGCCUCCUAAGAUGGAAGCAUCAUCCUUGCUCAUCACCAUGUCGCUCACCUCCAAAGCAUGUUCCUUGAUUGGCUCCAUAGUUGUAGUCGUCGCCACACCGUCUUGAAAAAGAGUCGAAGUAGACUCGACGUCAUCAAUGCCACAAAGAGUGAUGGCGGUGAAGUCGAACUUGGGAGCAUCGUCUUGGAGCUCGUCGGGCUUGGACAUCAUGGUGGUACUAGCCUCAUGCUCGUUCUCAUGGAGCUUGGUCGUCGUGAAGUGAGCUUGGGGUGGAGAAGCUUUGACCUUCAUGAGUUCUUGUUCCGCCUUGAGAGCACCAAUGUAGUAGUCGUUGAGGGACUUGUAGUUGUCGACGAAGAUCGUCUUGGAGAUGUCGUUGUGCAAUCCCAUCAUGAAGUGGAACUUCAUCAAAAUGGGGUCAUCCACGCCGGCUCAUCGCAAGGCUUUCUUCAUCUCCUUGAAGUACUCGUCGAUGGACUUGGAUCCUUGGGUGGUGUUCUCCAAUUGGCGUAGAAGGUGUUCCGUGUAGGUUGGAGGCACGAACUCUCGCAGCAUAGCUCUCCUCGUCUUGGGCCAACUCAUGUCGUAGCUCUCCAAAGGUGUGUAAAGCCACCAUGUGUACGCAUAGUCGUGGAAGUUCCUUGUGGCGCACUUCACUUGAUCUUCGGGACGAACUUGAUGUAGCUUGAGGUAGUCGUCCAUGAGGUGCUCCCACUCAAGAUACUCCUCGGGUUCUUGAGUUCCAUAGAAAGGAAUCUCGUGGUCGGUGUCGAGGUCGUAGUAGCUCGUGGAAGUCAUGGACUUGAGCUUGGGGAGCUUCUCUUGAGAAUGGUCUUGAGGUGCUUGUUGGCAAAGAUGUCGUAUGUCCGUAGGCGAAGAUGCCUUGAAGUCACUUGGCGAAAAAGCCAAGGGAUAUGGUGAAGUCAUUGAGUGGUUGUUGGUGUUGAGCUCGUGACCUUCACGUUCUUGGUGGUGAUGGUGUUGAUGCCGAUGUGAUCUUGCCGGAGAUGGUAGCUCGGAAGCAUGUGCUCUUGAGCAUCUUCUCAAAGAUGAGGAAGGUCGCUUGUAGGACUUGAUGAGGGCUUUGUUCUCCUCCAUUUGAGCUUGCAUCUUGGCGUCGUUGGAGUUGUUCGUGGCAUCGAACUCAACAUUAUUGUUGUAGACCGAAGGUGAAAUGCCUUGCCUAUUGUAAUGCCCCGGAUGUAACCUACCAUAUGUGUACUCCAACUCUUGCCAUUUUCGGCUCUAAGUUAUGAUAUUCCCUUGUGAUUGGGUUUUGUCUUCGUUUUGCAUUUUUUUCAUGUCAUGCAUCUCAUACCAUGUCAUCGUGUGCAUCGCAUUUGCAUACGUGUUCGUCUCAUGUAUCCGAGCAUUUUCCCCGUUGUCCGUUUUGCAAUCCGGUGCUCCUACGUCCCCCGGCGCCCCCUUUUGUCUCUUUUCAUGAGCGGGUGUUAAACAUUCUCAGAGUGGACCGAGGUUUACCAAGCGGCCUUGGUACACUACCGGUAGACCGCCUGUCAAGUUUCGUGCCAUUUGGAGUUCGUUUGAUACUGCAACGGUUAACCGGGGAACCGUAAAGGCCUCGUGUGUGUUGCAGCCCAACACCCCUUCAAAGUGGCCCAAAACCCAUCCAAACCCCCUCCAUCCUAUCGACCGUUCGAUCACGAUCGCGUGGCCGAAAACCGCACCUCAUUUGGACUCUCCUAGCUCCCUCUACCUAUAAAUAUGUGCACUCCUCCGAAUUUUUGGGUCCAAACCCUAGCCUCUUCUUCCCCGCGCCGCCGGACACGUCCGGAUCGGACCGGACCCGUCCGCCCUGCCGCCUCAGCCACUCCCGCGCCGCCACAUCACCGACGCCGACCCGUGCACCGCCGAGGCCCGUCGGGCCCAGAUCCGGCCCCCGCGGGCCCGUACCAUGUCGCCGCCGCCCGCGGGCAACCCCGCUCGAGGCCGCCGCGCACCUCCUCACCGCCCGGCGCUGCCGCGCCGCCUUCGCCGGUCGCCAUCGAAGCCAGCCGCUGCGCUCCGGUCGCUGUACUCCGUCGCCUCGCCUCGCCCGACGCCGCUCCGGUCGCCGCACCGCACUCCGCCGCCUGCGAGCUCCGGUGCCGGCAAGUCCCUCUCCGGCGAGCAUACCCCUCUCCAACUCCGGCCGUCGCGUUGUCUCCUCCAGCAAGAUCCGGCGAUCCUCGAUCUGUUGCUACAGUGAAACCCUAGAUCCCGAGGUCCAUUUUUCCACCAAGUCCCCUUUUUUGCAAUUAUUUUAAGCCAUGUUCAUCGCAUCAUAACUCCGCUUCCGUUGCUCCGUUUUGGGCGUGCCAUAUAUCAAAAUGUUCGUUAGGAUGUGCUCUUCAUUUUGUUCCACUUGCACCAUGCUUGUUUGAGUCCAUCUUGAUGCCCUAAUGACUGUUGCAAGAGUGCUUCAUAAUGUUAGUUCCUGUUUCUUAUCAGUUUUUGAGCAUUUGUCAUUUUUGCCAUGAUUAUUGUGUGCCUCCUAUGAACUUGAUCCCUACAUGUGUUUUGGGCUAUGCCAUGAAAUAUUUACAGUGGUGUAUGCCAUGUAUUUGUGUGACCAAUGUGGUGACUAGCACAAGCAUGCAAAGUAGCUCUCGUGAUGUUGCUUAUUUCAGGGACUUAGAAUUUCACUAAGUCAUUUUCCUGCUGUUAUUUUUAUGCCAUUUAUUAUGUUGCUACAGAGAGAUCCAUGCUUCUUUUUAGUAUGUUCAGUAAGGAUGAUUUGGGCAUAUGGUUGUUCUCUAUCCAUCCAUGUCCUUGUUUGCAUUUAUGGAGCACCCUAGCAUGACUCAAUCUUGCUCUACUUUUGCUAUAAAAUGUUCCUGGCAGAUUGUUUACGUGUUAAUCAAUUUUGCCAAGGUUGUUGUAGUUGAUCCAUCCAUGCUAUGAGAUUGUUCUUGCCAUGGUUAGCUUCUUGAUCAUGUCUUCUUUCUGGUAGUAUGCUUAGCUUGUCAUGCAAUGCCUUGUGUUGAGGGCAUCGAGCUCGCAAACAUGCCUACGUAACUCUGUUUUUGCCAUGUCCAGUUUUCUGCUAAGUCUGUAUCUGUUAACAAAACUUGCUAUGUUUACAUGGGUGCCAUCAUAUUUUCUGAUACUUUUUGGCUUAUGGUUAGUAAGGGACUUUUGUUAUAUGCUUUGAGUAGAUUCAUGCCAUGCCUUGUAAUGCUAUGAUCUGUUCCUGUAGCAUGUUGAUAUCUUGCUCUAAACAUUGCUUCUUGAUGUUAAUUCCUGGCAUGUUGUUAUUUUCACUAAGUCUGUGAAGCUGAUAUCUUUUGCACUUUUGCCAUGCUUGUUUGAACCUGUAAUUGGGUGAUUUAGCCGUAGCUCAGUGUUCAUCUUUUGUCAAGAAUCUUGAGUAGAUCACUGCCAUGUGCUUUGUUGCUAUGUUAGAGUGAAGUAGCUUAUUUUCUUGCUGCAUUUUAGAUGGCAUCGUGCUGUUAAUCGCAGAAUCGUGACAUUCUUGUUUUGCUUGCCAUUUGUAAACCGUGCAUCCGAUUCCGAUGAUCUUUAUAUCGAUUUCGACCGAAAUCAACUCAUCUUUCCAGCAAUGCACUUGGUUUGCCGAGUUGAGGCCUGGUUCAAUCUUUUCCUUCCAGAGCACGCAUAUGCAUUGCAUAUUACAUCCCGCAUAUCAUGCCAUGUUUUGCAUCAUGUUGCUUGCGCAUUGCACCGUGGUUGAUUGUGGUUUCUUUUGCUUGUGUUCUUGCCUUGGGUAGAGCCGGGAGACGAGUUUAUGAUCGAGGAACCCGUUGAGUAUGCUUACGAGGAUCAAGCUUACGUCAACUCGGAGAACUUUGCAGGCAAGAUGACCAUACCCUCGAAAUCACUUCUAUCUUUGCUUGCUAGUUGCUCGCUCUCUUGCUAUGUCGCGAUACCUACCACUUGCUAUAUCAUGCCUCCCAAAUUGCCAUGUCAAACCUCUAACCCACCUUGUCCUAGCGAACCAUUGUUUGGCUAUGUUACCGCUUUGCUCAGCCCCUCUUAUAGCGUUGCUAGUUGCAGGUGAAGAUGGAGUUUGUUCCUUGUUUGGAACAUGAUUAUUGUUGGGAUAUCAUUAUUAUAUCUUGUUUACUUUAAUGCACCUAUAUACUUGGUAAAGGGUGGAAGGCUCGGCCUUAUGCCUGGUGUUUUGUUCCACUCUUGCCGCCCUAGUUUCCGUCAUACCGGUGUUAUGUUCCUUGAUUUUGCGUUCCUUACGCGGUUGGGUUAUAAUGGGAACCCCUUGACAGUUCGCCUUGAAUAAAACUCCUCCAGCAAGGCCCAACCUUGGUUUUACCAUUUGCCACCUAGCCUUUUUCCCUUGAGUUUCGCGGACUCAAGGGUCAUCUUUAUUUUAACCCCCCGGGCCAGUGCUUCUCUAAGUGUUGGUCCAAACUGGGCGAUGCCCGGCGCCCCCUGGGCAACCAGGGUCUAUGCGAACCCGACGUCUUGCCCAUCCGGUGUGCCCUGAGAACGAGAUAUGUGCAGCUCCUAUCGGGAUUUGUCGGCACAUUCGGGUGGCUUUGCUGGUCUUGUUUUACCAUUGUCGAAAUGUCUUGUAGCCGGGAUUCCAAGUCUGAUCGGGUCGUCCUGGGAGAAGGAAUAUCCUUCGUUGACCGUGAGAGCUUGUGAUGGGCUAAGUUGGGACACCCCUGCAGGGUUUGAACUUCCGAAAGCCGUGCCCGCGGUUAUGGGCAGAUGGGAAUUUGUUAAUAUCCGCUUGUAGAGAACAUGAAACUUAACUUAAUUAAAAUGAAUCAACAGCGUGUGUAACCGUGAUGGUCUCUUUUCAGCGGAGUCCGGGAAGAGAACACGGUCUCGUGUUAUGCUUGAUCGUAAGUAGUUCUAGGAUCACUUCUUGAUCUUAUAGCUUCUCGACCAUGCUUUGCUCCUCUUCUCGCUCUCAUUUGCGUAAGUUAGCCACCAUAUAUGCUAGUGCUUGCUGCAGCUCCACCUCACCACCUUUCCUACCUAUAAGCUUAAAUAUUCUUGAUCGCGAGGGUAUGAGAUUGCUGAGUCCCCAUGACUCACAUAUUACUUCCAAAACCAGAUGCAGGUGCCGAUGAUGCCAUUACAGGGGAUGCGACCAAACUCAAGUGGGAGUUCGACGAGGAUUCAGGACGUUACUAUGUUUCCUUUCCAGACGAUCAGUAGUGGAGCCCAGUUGGGGCGAUCGGGGAUCUAUCACAUUUGGGGUUGUCUUUAUUUUGGUUUCGUAGUCGGACCUUGAUUGUAUUCUAGAUGAUGUAAUGCUAUAUUUAUGUAUUGUGUGAAGUGGCGAUUGUAAGCCAACUCUUUAUCUCUAUCUUAUUCAGUACAUGGGAUGUGUAAAGAUUACCCCUCUUACGACAUGCCUACUAUGCGGUUAUGCCUCUAAGUCGUGCUCCGACACGUGGGAGAUAUAGCCGCAUCGUGGGUGUUACACCUAUCCAUCACAAGACUCGAGUAGAGGUGAGUAGGAAAUGAGAUAAACAGUACCAAGUUACCUUUUCCCAAAGUUGAGGAUGUAUCCCGUUUCACUCAAUGUGAGAUGAAAGAAUAGUGGAAUUGGUACCGGACUUGUUCACUCACACCUAUCAAGUAAAACUUAUGGAGUAGCUCGGUGAGGAUAGUGGCACAAAAAUUUAAUGCAAAAUGUUAGCAAGAGUCAAUAAUGUUGAAAAAGAUUCACAAAUUCGCAAGUGAAACAAGUAGACCAAUAGCAAUGAAUGGCACACGGAAACAUGCACAUGGAUAGAUAAAUGGGGUCGUGCAACCAAGGAAUGAGCACAAAGUGUGGAGUCCACGAAAAACGCUCAUGUUGCACAACUCAUGAGAGACGCUAGCACGAUUGCUCAAUAGGCGGAUACGACACUUGUGCACAACCUAUAAGAUGCAAAAUGGAUAAUCUUUAUAUCCCAAGUAUGCUAUGUAUAUGAUGUUCCGGUGGUAUGAUCCAAGAUGAUCGGAUAUGACAAUCUUAUGCAAUGUGGUAUGAUGCUAUGGCACUUGGUUGUGUGCUCACUCUUUUUCUUUGCUUAAAAGCUUAUUCUUUUUUUGUAUGGCCACUUUUGCACAAUGCACAAACCAAGAUAACAAUUGUAUAUAUGCGGGAACAAACUUGAUGAGGACAUCAAUACCAUUGUUACACCCACAGCCCCUGCUGCUAUACAUACUGGACCAAUUACUAGAGCUCGCGCAUGACAAUUGAAUUAUCAGGUACUUUCGUUUCUUGGUAACGAUUCUAAUGUUCAUGAGAAUAUGAUGCUGCCUAAAUUGGAUACAUUUGUUUUGCUUACAAAUGAAGGGCCUAGCUUGGACAAGAAAGAUGAACCUUGGAGCAAGUUCAAGCAUGGAGAUGAUGGCAUGCGCAAGGGGAUCACGAACAGAGUUACAAGUGAUGAUUUCAGGACUUUGAAGCCACCAUAAGGAGUGCAUGAAGCAUGGGAUGAAAUAUACAAGAUGCCACUUCAUAAAUUUCGUCCAAAGGCUAUUUUAGGUGUUGCGUCACCUUAUUAUUGGGCCAGGCCCAUGUAUUUUCAAAAUACUUAAGUAUAGGCUAUUUUUAGAGUCUGUAUGUGUGGGGAAACAAGAGUUAGGGUUGGUUUCAGACCCCUCCUCCAAGGGCCACGAAAUCCCCCCCUCUUCCUCCAUAUAUACAUCCCUUAGGGCGUCGUUUAGACUUUGGGUUUUAUUUAGAUUAAAAGUUCGCCAUAGCUGCAACUUCUCGUACUUCGUUUGUGUCCAGCGACCAGACCAAGACGUCACAAAACCCCACCUUGAUCAAUAAAGUUUUCAUCUUAUAUUCGCAAUAUCCAGAUUGCAAUCUCAGUUUCUUGCUUGUUCUUCGUUUGCUCGCAGGAAACAGACCCUCGUGGUCAGGUUGAUCGUGCUCCGGCGUGGUCAAUAACCCCUCGGAGUUGGUUUAGCGAUUGCUAAGGCACGACAUCCUCGCACGUUCGUAGUCGGAUUGUCAAAGUCGACUUCCUCUAAAACGGUAGCCACCAUCUCAUCGAAAGACGGGACACCUUUGCCUCUAUCAAGUGGUAUCAGAUUUCCAGGUUGCUCGGUGAGAUUUUACAGUUUUUUGUAGUUUAGGUCGAGUCUGUUAUUCAUACCUAUAGUCCACGAAAAAGCCAACAUUUUUUAGGGUUAGGUCAUCAUAUCCGAACCAAUCUGAGCCUUUGCAUAGUCAUUUUAGAGUUUUUCUUUGUUGAAUUUGCAGUUGCAUCGUCGUGUCGAGUUGCUGGUCUUAGCGUCUAGCCCCUUAGAGUUUCGAGUUCUGUUCACAAGUUGUCACACCACCGCUGCACCAUCGUCAUCACCAUUGCCAUAUACCACCACCCCACCAUAUACAUCGCCGCUGCCAUAUACAACCACCAAUCCGAGUCCACAUAUACCAUCGCCAUAUACCACCACCAAUCCGAGUCCAGUUAUACCAUCACCAUAUACAACCACCAGUCCGAGUUCCACCAGAUUCAUCUCCGCCACCAGUCCUAGUCCGAGUCCAGUAUUUGUUGCUUUGUUUUCGAGUUCCAGAUCACGCGAUACUUCAAGUUGUGACCAAGUCGGACUCCCCAACUUCCAUGAUAUCCGCAGUAGAAAAACAGUUCCAAACUAAAAAAAAAC
rnacentral:lncRNA from 1 species